rnacentral:lncRNA from 1 species
AUUCUCAGUUUCGCCACAAGCAUUAUUUACAAUAAAAUUAAACAGAAAAAUGGAUUCCAUACUUCUAAAUGCAUGAUUAACGAUAGGUAGAGUAUUCACAGGUUCAAGUCCUGAAAAAUGUUUCCAUCUCAAUUAGGUAGUAGUAAGCACAGUCAAGCAUCUAUAGGUCAAUGAUGAGGGAACAAUGGAAGGGAAAAAAGCUUGCAGGGGCAACAGAAUGAAAAUGUAAUGACCAACUGAAUUUGUUUAGGCUUCUGCAGGCAUCCAUGCUAUGGUUGUUACAUAGCUUGGGGAGGGAUGUACCUAAAGGAAGGUUCAAUGCCUUCGUUUGAGUAUGUUGAUUGGUUAGGAUCUUAAUGAGACAGAGAGAGUUUCUUUUUGUGUUCUCUCUUGUUUGUCUUUGCCUUUUAGUGCUGAUUGUGUCCGUCCUGUGUCCUCUAAUGUACUCUUUUGUUGCUAUAUACAUACGUCUUGUAUUGCCUAUCAAAAGAAUAUAAAUACAAUCCACCCCGCAUACAAAUGUCGUCUAUGGAAAUUGUUCAAAAUUGGGUAUAAUGCAUCUGUUGAGAGAGAGAGUUGAAUAAACUUCCAAAAGAAACAUGGUUAAUUUAUCCAAACAAGAACGUAAUAUAGAAUCCUCAACUGUACAAGUGGAUCCCAGGUUGAGCUCAUCUCAAAUUCAAAAUUCCUAUCUUAUCCUACUGCAGUUUUUAAGAGCAUCACGCUUCAAUGUUUAAUAAGCUAGAUUACAGUAAAGCCAUGUCAAGAACUUAUCUUAGUUGCUGAAGUAACUCAAAAAAAUAAAAAGUUUUUAGAAAAUACGUCUUUGAAGAUCUAGGCCCAACACUAAAAAGUUGGAAGAAAAUAGGAGUACCAAAAUUUAGGUUCAGCCCUGCUUGACUAGGGAAAACAAAAAAAAUGCCCAUAGUGUUUGCUUUUGUCAAAACUUUUUCUUUUGGUUAGGCAAGCUUGCAACAAUGACCUGGAUUUUUACAUCCAAUGUUGAUGGCUUAACUGGUAAGCAAAGGUGGCAAGUCAAUGAAGAAAGGAAAUAUGGAAUGGGCCCGCGGUGGAAAACUUUUGGUCUUUAUCAUAGAUUGAUUGAUGGUAAUAACUUUGUUUGUUUUUUUUUUUUUUCAUAUAUAUUUAUUUUAUGACAAGGAAUUGAACCCAAGACCUCCACAGUACCCAAUCCAAACUCUUGCCACUUGAGCCAAGCCUCAAAGGUAGUAAACAUCAUUGAUGUUAACUUCUUCAUUCACAAAAAUAAGUGGUGGAAAUGGCUUCUAGCAGAUGUUAAAUUACUGAACAUUGAGUUGUUGCUCGCUUGAAAAUCAUGAAGGAGUUGGAUUUUAAGGUACAAUUAAUCAACAAAGAGCCAACAAACAAUUUUCCAAACUUAAAUAUUUGAAAUUGACAUAAAGCAUAACAUCAUAUAUCUCAAAUUUAAGUAAUCUAAUGCAACUGAUCCUUCACAGACACUAAACAAUGACAAAGAAAAUUCAUCUUCAGUAGAUGCUGAGAAAAAUGAAACAGAAAAUAUAAUAAAUUUUUGAACUUUCAUGCUAUUUUCAAUUUCCUUGUAUUACCAACAAUGAAAAUUCUGCAGCACAAAAAUUCAAAUUUUAUUUUAUGUUUACGGCGGCCUAAGCAAACCUAAAGAUAAAAUAUUUCACUUCGUUUUUCUCACUUUUUCUCAUGAGCCAAACAUUAAGAAAAAAAAAAUUGAAAGCUAACACCCCUUUUCAACACCCUUUUAACACAAUUCCAAGAGCGUUACAACGUAAGAUGCACAAUUCUCUUUGUUUCUCACAUUUCCUCUGCAACCAAACAAACCACAACAAGACAUACUCAAGAUAUAAACAAAAUACCUUGAUCGUUACGAGCAGUGAAGAUGAUCGCCCCAGUCUCAUCCCCAACAAGACACUCAGCAAUACGAGUGUGGCGAAGAUGCUGCGACACCGAUCGGCCCUUUUGCAACACGGUCUUAGAGCUCACCACCUUCACCGUCAGAGUGUGGCCACCCGUCCCCGGCUUCAACUGGUCCACCUUCGUGAACACCGGCUUCCUCUUCUCCGUCACAGCUGCCUUCGCCGUCUCCGUGGUCUCCGUGGUCUCCGUUGUCAUCGCCGUCUCCGUAGUCGCCGUUUCCAUCACCGUCUCUGUAGUCGCCGUUUCCAUCGCUCAAAAACCCUAGCUUCAGGAUCCAAAUCGGUUGGGGACGUUAAGAAGCCCUAGAAUAAAAACAAACGUGUUAGGGUUUUGCUUUUAGACUUAGACAUGGACUUGGACCCUUUUAGAGCUACCUUUGUGCAAAGGGAAAUUGAUUAGGUGAGAGACAAGUAAAGGAUAUAUUCGGAAAUAGUGGGUGUAUCAUGCAUGGUAACUUCAUCACUAAGUAAAUUAAAUAUUUUUUAUAAAAUAAAUUAAUAUAAAAAUUAAAAUUAAAAAUGAUUUUAAGUAACAAAUAAAAAUAAUUAAUUUAUUUUUAAGUCAACAUCUUUUUUUUAUAUUUUUACUUCAUUUAUCUUAAUUAUCUUUACGUUCUUCUUUAUUAUUACACGACUUUAUUUACCCUACUUAUAAUUUAUAAGGAUAAAUAUAUCAAUUUAAUAAUUUAGGAUAAAAUUUUAAUUAAUUUUAUCAAAUAAAUUUAAUAUUUAAAAUAAUAAUUAAGCAAUAAGUUUUGAGUGAACAACUCAAAUAUAAUUGAACUUAAAAUCAAUUUAAAUUAUUAAAUAAUAAAUAUUAAGUUUUAUCAAACAUUCCUUUAAUUGGUGAUCCUCCUACCACAUCAGAUUCACCAACAUCAUUCCAUCCUACCACGCUUUUCAUGUCUUGUGGUCGAAACAUAAAUUGUAUGUAGGUUAAAUUCAUAUCGAAAUAUAUAACUGGUUUAGUAAUAAUUUUUGAAUCUUAACUUACAUUAAAUGAAUUUAAUCAUAAUUAAUAUAAUAAUUAUUAUUAUUCAUAUUGAAUUUAAAUUAACCUAUUUAAUAGAAUAUCUGAGUUUAGAUACUACACAAAUAUGACCUAGCAACUCGAAUUGAUACCUUGAUCACAUCUAUAUAAAAACGUUUUCUUUUUCAAUUUAUUUUGAUUAAUUUAUAAAUUCAACAAGUACAAUGUAAUUAUAUACUUGUUUAAAAAAAAAAACAGACACGACAUUAUAUUUUAAAUUUAUUGUCAUAUCAAUCUAACCAACCUCUAUAGGAUGAAAUAAAGGUAUGAUUGGACUAUUGGAUUGAUAGUGGUUAAUUUUAAUUAAUCUUACAUUAUUUUACUUAAUACAUAUGCAAAAUCAUUGUGGAUUUAUGAAUUCAAAAUAUUUGAUGAACAAUAGAGACAAGCCGAUGAAACUUGUUCCUUUGUAUAGAAACAUUUAGGGUAUGUUUGAUUUUAGGAAAAUACAGUGAAAAUGUCGGAAUUGGAAAUAGAAAAUAAUAGUAGUCUUUUCUUUAAAAUAGAAAGGGAAGAGAAAAAGUGAAAAAAAUAAAAUAAAAAAUUAAAAUCAUUAAAUCAUUUUAUACAUUUUAUUUAGAAAUGUAUAAAUUUUUAUUUACUUCUUAAUUAUAUUUGAUUUUUUUUUUCAUAUUUUGUACGUUGAAAAUCAAAUAUGAGAAAAUUAUUUUUCUUAAUUUUUUUUUUUAGUAUUUUUCAAGAACCAAACACACCUUUUAGAGAAAUUUUGAAAUAUAUUUGGAUAGUUAUCGAUAUUUAAAAUAUUAUUUACUUUUUUUUAUGGGAAUACAAAUCUUUUCAAUUUUCAAAUUCACCAUUUUAUUUAUUUUAAUUACCAAAAUUUUUAAUUUCUUUAUUUCAAAUUGAGGACAACUUGUCUUCCUCUUAUGCAAAGCCAUGUGACAAGUGUCACAAUUGGAGUUUCAUGGAAUUAUUACCAAGUACAAUUAACACUAAUUUAAAUAGGCAAAAAAGGCAGAGGCAUUUUUAUUUAUACAAGUAAGCUGUGAUCACAUCUUCCACUAUAUGUUUUCCAUCAGCUGUUAGUGCUAUAUAUGGAGAGAGACUCAUCCACUCUGCAGAAAAGUAAACAAAUAAAAUGGGAUUCAGAAUGGGAGAAAUCAAACUGCUACUCUACUUCUGGGAUCCUCCUCCUCCUCCUCCUCCUCCUCCUCCUCCCACAACCAUUGUGAGUUGUGGCUGCUGCUGCUGCUCUUUUUCCUCUCCUUCUGCUUCCCUUUCUUCCAUGUUUGCUUCUGAUUGCUGCCGAUGAUAUCGGAGUAUUACCAGAGCUAUAAAUGCUGCCCACAGAACAUCAUGAACUACAUUUUAGGUAGAGAAAAUGAUGCAACUUUUCUAACAUCUUAUAAUUUCCAGAAUUUAACAAGACUUCUGCAAUUGAUAUGUAAACCCCACCUGCAAAAAUCCGUGUUUUUAUAGCAGAUAGAUUCCAAAAUACUGUGACUGCUGAUGCUGCAACUAUCUUCUUGUGAGAGCAGGCUCCCCAUGCUUCCACCACCCACCCUUUCAAGUACUCAACUGCAUCAACAAUAACACAGUUUCGAUAUCUCAUGACAAACUAGAAAGCAAAACAAAGGGAGCAAGGGCUUGGCUUGUUGUUUCUAUAUACCUCGCGUGUUUAUCUGAGCAGAGUAGCAAGAGUAAAGCUUUGGGAUGGUGAAGCUGAUGAAAAACCCUGCUCACAUUAAUGCACAUCAUUAUCCAUUUUCCAAAUCUAUUUUCCAAAGGGUCACUAUAGAUUUUCUUUUUUUUCUGGGGUCCUGAGAUCUUACCGAGUGCACAGAGUCUCCUUACUGUUAGAAGAUGGCCAUACUCAGCUCCCACAAGGAAGAAUGGGGCAACCUGAAACACGAAAAAUUGGCUGAUUUGAUCACCCUUUUGAGCAAUCUGAAGCAUUGUAUUAUUACAGUAGGAGGAGUGAAUUGUUGUGAAUACCUUGAGGGUCAUGGAUGGUUCCCCUGAAAAAAGUUGUAUUGUCUUUGAAAUGGCAAGAUUUGUAGCUGGAAGUAUAGCUCUGGCCACUCGCAAAAUGUCGUCUUCCUUGAGCUUAAACUCGCGUCUCUUUUCAACAUUAUCCCUGUUUAUCAACCCUUGACGUCACUCAGAAAAUACUGCUACAUUGAUAGGAAUCAUAACAUGAGGUGAUGAAUUCAGUUUCUACCUUUGGUACAGUGAGUUUGAGAAGAACGACAAACCGAGAAAUAAAAGUCCCAGCUGGGAGAUUGCCGAGAAAAUACUGAAAACAUGAAAUCCCCAGUUCUUAGAUUCUUUAGAUCGCAAGAAUAUUGAAGAAAAUUGAGAUACUGAGAUAGAGGAGCAGUGUGGUGGAUACCUAAAGCUUAUUCCUCUGGUAAAACAGGAGGAGAGGAAGCAAACAGAACCAAAACCGAACCAAAAGCUUGAUUUGGAAGCAUCUUUCCACAUUAUCAAAUCAGUGACUAGCUGCCCGAUUCUGUGUAGGUUACUGAGGUCAUCUUCAUUGGCUUCUGAAACCAGCAUCAGCCAAAGGGUGGUAAAUCAAAUCAUACAAAGGGCUAAAGAAUGAAACAGAGCAAAACAGAGGAAAAUAGAUGAAUUCAGACGUACUUGGAGAUGAACUUGAAGAAGGAACAGAGGGAACCAAACUCAACUUCUCCUUCCUCGACCGCCCGCUAUGCCGCCUUUUCCUCAACUUUCCCAUCUCCUCCGCCAUACCAAAAUCCUUGUCUUCUCUCACAUCUUGCUCCACCCUCCUCCGAGGCCUUCGGGUAUUCCUCGGAGAAGCACACCCCAAUACCCCCAUCUGGCUAAUUCUGCUCUUGCACCGCCUUCGAGAUCCAGUGGCCUCUAGAGGCUCUUCCCCCAUGUCUAUCCUUUCAGUGAGCCGGGUUCUCGAUCUUCGAAGCGGCGAAGGCGAAAGAAGUAAGAGUUCGUGGAGAGGAAGAGGAUUAGAAGGAGACAGAGUUUUACUUGGUGACAGUGUGCUGAGAUCGAGAGAGAUUUUAGGCCUUUCUUGGCCUCCUUGAUCGAUUUCCCCAAUCCGAGCGGGGCGGGAGGCUGAUUUAGUCCCAGAUCGAGGCUCAGAUUGGUGAGAGAGAGGUGGAGAGUCCAUGGUUGAGCUUGAACUUUGUGUAUGGAUUGAGUGAAGACUGAGGGUUUUGGGAGAUCUGCUAGGGUAUUGAAGUAGGGUUUAGGGAAAUAUAGCCGUUAGAGUUAUGUUUUGAAUUUUUUAGCGAGGCAGGUGGGUCUGUGCCUCUGUGGCCUCAACGGUAGGAAAUUAGUGGCCGGCCGUUUGUUUGUCCCGUUUAUGGGGUCCCAUGAUUUGUGAAAGUAACAUUGGAGCCGUUGAUGUUGUAUGAACACGUGCUCUAAGCCGUUGGAUUCAUCUUUCAUACAAUUUUUCUUUUCUUUUUCCAUACUUUUUUUUUUUUUUGCAAUUUCAACAUUUUUGUAGCUUUACCAAUUUUGUAACCUUUCCCCAAAAUGCUUGUAAAUAAUAUGAUUUACAUCUUUUGAUUUCUUAAUUUAUAAGAAUAAUAUAUCGUGAUUUUUUUUUUUAUUUUAUAAAUAAUUGUCUCCUUCUGGACAAGUUAAAACAAGGACAUGAUGUGGAAACUUUAUAGUAUCUUUAUAUCUCUAAUAAAUGUUGUUUGGUAAGACAAUUUAAUAAUUUAACUUAAAUUAUUAAAUAGAUUAAGAUUAUAUUUAUUUUUUUAACUUAAUGUUAAAUGUAAAUUGCUAUCAGACUUAAAAAGUUUGUUUUUAACUUUUCUUUACUUAUUAGUUAUUUUAUAAAUACUUAAUAUUGAAUAUUAAAAAUAAUUUUUUGAAACAAUCAAAACAUUAUCUCGACAUGACUCUUAUCUAAUCAAUACUUAAUACUUAACAAAAAUAAAGUAAUAAAAAAAAUAACUUAAUACUUAAUACUAUUAAGUUUUAAAGUUAAGUGAAAUUAAGUUUUAUUUACAUUUAAGUGAAAAAUAAAAUAAAAGAUGAAUUAUGAAUAUAAAGUUAUAAUCAUAAAAUAUACAUUCAUUGAAUAUGGGUAAACAAAAUAAAAGAAUUUUGAUUUAAUAUUGAAAGUUAUUUUUACUCUAAGCUGUGAUAUUAAAUUAUUUUAUUAAAUAUACUUAAUCCAUUUAAUGAUUUUAAUUAAGUCAACAAAUCAUAUUAAGUGAUUAAGUUGAUUUAACAAAUACCUUCUUAAUAAAUCUCUUUUACAAACAUUAUUUUAUAUUUACUAUUCCUUUUUUAUAGUAAAUAUUUUUUUAAUUGUUUUAUGAAUUGACAAUACUUUUAAUAAGGAUACUUAAGAAAUAUUUAUUGAAGGUAAAUAUUAAUAAUUUGAUCAUUUAGAAAAAAAAAUAAAUUAAUUUGAUCAAAUUACCAAAAUAUUUAAAGUAGAAAUAAAGUAAUAAAUUUUAAGUCAAUAAUUAAAAAAUGAUGAAACUUAAAGUUAAUUUAAACCAUUAAAUAAUAAGUAUUAAAGUUUAUAAAAUGACAUCUUAAUAAACUCACUUAAUAGCUUGAAGACUUAAUUUAAGUGUUUAAGCACGCUAAAUAUUUUGGGUAAAAUAAUUUAAUAUUGAAAUUUAAAGUAAAUAAGUUAAAAUAAAUAAUCUUUUCUAGAUGGUGUAAGGGGGAAAGAGAUUUGUUUUUACUCCUGUAUUUUUUAUAUACACGUUUGGUAAGAUCAUUUCCAUCUUGUAUACAUCCAAUUAAUUUAGAGUAUGUGGGAAUGAGAAUGAUAAAUCAAUUUCAUUUCUUAUUUAUUAUUAAAUUUGGAUUAUAAUUAAAAAUGGUAAUAAAAAAUUAUUUUCAUGGAAAAUUCAUUCUUAUAGAAACCAAGAGUCUAUUUGGUUGCCUAUUUAAAAAUUGUUUCUAAAAAUUUAUAAUAAUGUUUUUGCAGUGGUUUUUUAGAAACAAUUUUUACAAAGUGAAAUAGAGAAUGAUUUUUAUAAAAUAAACUUAAAAUAAUAUAUAAAAAUAAUUUCUUAGUUUUAAAUUAAUUUUUUAUCCUACUUUGUUUUCGCUUUCCUUUUACCUUUCUUUUUCUCAUAUUUUUAUCAAAAUUUUCAAGAAUCAAACACUAUCUUAAAGACUAUGUUUGAUUCUAGGAAAAUGCUAAGAAAAAAAAAUUUAAGGAAAAUAAUUUUCUCGGGUUUUACUAUAAAAAAAAAAUCAAAUAUAAUUAAAAUUAAUUAAAAAUGUAUAUAUUUUUAAAUUAUUUAAUCUUACUAUAAUAGAAAAAAAUAAGUAAAAUGAACUUAAAUAUAUAAAAAUAAUUUAUUAAAUUUAAACUUAUUUUUUCUUUCUUUCUCAUUUUCCCUUUUCCCUUGAAUUUUCCGGGAACCAAACUGUUUGGCAUUCUACUCUGCUUGUACAAACCAUAGAAUCAAAAACUGUUUUUUCUCAUACCUUACUUCCACUUGCAAGAUUAUUGGAAGGCUGACAAAUUUUAUCUUGAAAGAUAUUGUCAAUUGAUUGAUCCUUGUGUCCACAGUUUUCUAGUCAUCCAUUUUUCUUUCUUCCAUCCAACAUAAUUUUCCAUUCUUCCCAGUAGUUAUUACACUGCUGAUCCAUAUUUGCCACCAAGCUAGUAGCACAGAUCUUAAGUUCCGAGAAGUCCAUACAUUUAAUAGAAUUGUUCCCUCAAAUUUUGAGGAUACAAUAACAGACAGUUUAAUGUCUAUUGGCACCUUACAGAUCAUGAGAUUCAACAAACAUUGAAUUGAUCUGAGAUGAAGUCUUUAUUCCUUCUUGGCAUGCCUCUGGUAGAAGGCUUUGAUCCUUCCAAGUCCAUCUUCGAGGGAAGGUGGAUCAAUGGCAAAAGUUACCCGAAGCCAGUUCUUCAUUCCCACAGAUACACCUGCAACAAAUAUCCCAAAAUUAUUAGACCCACUUUGUUUUUGUUAUCCAAUAUACAAGCAACUAAAACUAAUGUAGGGCUGCAACUCUGAUGGAUUCAGUCCGGUUGAUGGCUAACGCAAACCUAACUUGAAUUAAGAAACAAUUAAUCUAAGUCCAACCCAACUCGCCCUUUAAUAUAAGGUUCUCAACCUUAUUUUUCUAAGUUCAAAUUAAGUUUGAAUUAUAUAGAAUAAUAUACAUUAUAAAUAUUAUAAAAAUAUCAAAUCGGUCUAGAGUUAGGCUUUGGUUAUCGGAUCAUUGACCCAUGUCUAACCCAAAUUGAGUUAGGUUGAAAAAAAUAGACUCAAGUCUGUCCAAAGAUCAAGUUGGGUCGGAGCAACCUAAGCUAACCAAGGUUGCUUGCUUCUUACCUGGAAGGACAAUCACUGAUUCCUCUUUAGACAGCUUCAUACAGAACUCUACAUCAUCAUCAAUAUCCUCCAAUAGAGACAGGUUCAACUUGACCUGAAAAGAAACCGUAAUUGAGAAUAAUCUUCAUCUCAAUAUUCUGAAGUGCAAACUAUAUCAUGUUUUCCUUCUCCCUUUACCAUUACAAACAUGGAUCCUUCCGGCUUCUGUGGGCAAGUAAUGCAGGGGAUACCCUUAAUUCUGUCAUGAAUUAUGUCGGCACAUUCUCUGAGUAUGCUGAUAGUGUUUGAGAAGAAAUCCUCUUUUGUUUUCUCCAGGAUCUCAGGGAUUGCACCCUGAUAAAUGAACCAAAUCAUUGAUCAGUGUGUUCGAUCUCUUUAAGAAAUGAAGAACAAAAAAAAAAAAAUGGCAUGGUCCCUUACAAACCUGAAUAAAAGUUGCGGGAUCAGAAGAAAUAUUGAGACAGCUUAUAAUGCUCUCAACAACCUGAGAUGAAAAGCAACAAAGAUAUAAGUUGAGUGUUCUAUAACCAGGAAGUUUCCUACCUAGUCAAUGUUUCCAAUUCUACUACACAUGGGAUCAUAUACUGAAAUUAAGUUCAAAUUCAUGCUUUAUUACCGUAUUCUUCUUGGGAUAGUGUUAGAUUUUUCAUUAAAAAUGAGUAGGUUUAUGUAAAGGCCCACUCCCUCCCAUGUAGAUAUUGUUUGGAGUAAGGCCAACAAGAUAUCAUUGUUUUAAAACGUGUCUACAUGGUAAAGAGGAGUUUAUUCACAUAUAGUAUUAAGAACUUCUUCCCUAUCUGAUAUGACCCCACAAUCACAAUGUUCUUGUUAUGUCCCAUGAGAUUGGAAGAUCAGAUAGACGUUUCUUUCUUAUAUGGACGGAUAGACAUAGUUCCACACUAAGGUCAGAGAUUUGCUCUGAUACUAUUUGUGACAGCUCACUCCCUCCCAUAUAGAUAUUAACGGCUUUGAGCCUAAUAAACUAUAACGAUUUUAAAAUGCAUCUAUAUGGUUACGGGGAACUUAUAUAGAUAUGUAUAGAGUACUCAAUACUUUUUCACCUAUUCAAUGAGGUUAUAUCCAUACAAUCCUAGAAUUAUAUAUGCAUAUUAAAAUAUGAAGUCAAAAGAGAAUUAUAAGUGGCAAAAGAGGACCCCAGAUUUGUGAAGGAUGCCAUUGAGGUCAUUUGUCACGAGCCAACCGAGUCUCCAACCAGGAACAACCCAUCUCUUUGAUAUAGAACCAACUGUAACGAUGGGCACAAUCGAUCCAAACACUCCCAUAGGUACAAAAGGUUUACUACCAAAAGCAAGAUGGCCGUAAACUUCAUCAGAAAUCACCAUAAUCCCAAGAUUUCUUGCCGUUUCUGCAACCUGAAACUCAAAAAACCAUUAACCAACUUAUGAUAAAUCAACAAGUUUAUGAUAAAUGGAAUGUUGCCACAUAAUCCACCUUCUUCAAGUGUUCAUAUGUGAAGACACUGCCAGAAGGAUUUCCGGGGUUUACGAUAACCAUGGCAACAGUGUUUUCAUCUGCAAGAGCUUUGACUGCCUCAAGAUCGACCUCCCAACCCUGCUCUGGAAGAAGGUCAAAAUGGCGGACCUCGAGAUUGUCAGCUGCAGCUCGGGCUUCAUAGUAUGGGAAGCCAGGUCUAGGUAGGAGAAUGUUGGCACCAGGGCGUGCCAGUACUUGUAUCAUUAUUUCAAUUGCCUGAGUACAUCCAAUUGUGAGAUAAAUAUCAUCUGGUGAUAGCUGGUAUGGAAGAUCCCUAGAGAGAUACUCUGCAACAGCCCUGUUAACAAAAUCUAAGUAUUAAGCAUCAUCUGGUCGAGUAGACUAAUACGAAACUUUGUGAAAUCAAACAAUUAUCGUCAUUGAUUGCCCUUCAACGAUUAUUUGAUUAAAAGAGAUGAAAUAAUUGAUAUCAUAAAAGUAACCUUUCACAUGUUUCGACAGUUGGAUUGUUUAUCGAUACUUUUACAAGAAAAGAUGAAAUGCAUUUAUGUCCAAAAGAGAAGCAUUUUUAGACUCAAACAUGGAAGAGAUUACUUUUGCAAUAUCGGGACUAUUUAAUCCUCUUAAUCAACUCAUGUCACACUCACAACAACAAUAGCACCUACCAUUUGGGCAGGACUAACCAUAGGACCUGAACUCAUGUCACACUCAUAAGAAGUCAAAAUAAGGAAACCAUCUAUGUUUGUUCACAUAUCACUCUAGCUACUACCAUUUCUCUAAGGAAGCCCUUGUCAAAUGCCAAGAAGAUUUCAAAAUGGAUUUUUGGGAGAAAAGGGUUCCAAAAUUCAUGAUCAUAAACAAAAAUCUCCAAGCCACCCGUGAGUGGGGUUUAUGCCCACCAUUCAUUACUGCAGUAUGAGGUCAGUGACAAUGCAUGGCAACCUGGAAUUGUCCUUCCAAGUUCCGAAUAAGGCCAGAGAUACAGAGGACUGUGUGCCAACUGUGACAACAUGCUGCAGUGUAAGCAGACAAGCUUCACCUGGGUUUUGUGGCUGGAAUCAACACUCGCUAUCUGUCAAAUUUUGAACGUUUUUUUUCCUAAUGUUUGAGCAGUACACACACUACAAACUUUCAUACUAACAAACCCACAUCGGAAAGCAAUUCAGACAGAGAUAAUAAUAAAUAAAUAAAAUCUGCAUAUAAUAAUUAAUUUAAUAAUAAUGAAGACAAAAAAUUAAACAGUAUAAAUUAUGGAAAAAGAGAGAGAAAAGAAUCUGGCAGUAUAGUGGGGGCAAACAGAACCACGUCCACACAAAUAUCUACGAGUAUAAGACAAAAUCUCCAGCUUCAAAAUACAAGGAUUCAAGAUUCCUCUAUCAAAAUUGAAAUUUCAAUAUGUAAUAAGAAAUAAUAUAAUUUUUUUUUUUAGAAAUAUGUAUAUUUUUCUGUAGUUGCAUCCGUACCGUACACGUGGAGAAAAGGGUAGCCAGAUGAAGUGGAAGAAAGGCAUACCUCCUGGCAGGGAGAAGACCGACGGUGGGGGCAUACGAGUUGAACUUGGCCGACCGGACGGCGUCAGCGAUGGCGUCUUCGGCCACCGGAGUAGUCCGGAAACAGGGAAACGCCGAUGGAUCGCCGUGGCCAAGAGGAAUAACAGGCCUGUUAUCUUCUUCACUGAGAUUUGACAUAACUUUGCCUAGAACUCCUCUUAUGGUGACGGCGGCUGCCAUAUUCAGCUCUUGGUUUCCUUGGAAACCCCAUCUCUUCUUCGAUCCAUUCUCCAUUUCCUCCUUCUUUCUCUUUCUCUUUCUCUUUCUCUUUCUCUUUCUCUUUCUCUGGGGUUGUGUUGUUUGUUUCUCGGAAUUUUAGAGCGAGAAAGAGAGAAUUUACUGCAAGAGACUUCUCCACGUUCUUUCUAUAUAUUAUAUACGAUUGUGGUUUGUUCACGAGGAGCCCGACACGUGAAGCGCACGUGUCAUGGUAAACCUUGUAAAAAGAUUAAAAAUGUCCAAAAAUAAUAUUUCAAAAACAUUAUAUGAAACAUAUAAAGUAAAUUACUUAAUUUUCUAUAUUAUUUUAAAAAAAAAAUUAUAAAUUUAAUAACCUCCUAUAUAUGUAUAUAUUAAUAAAUGAAAAUUAAAUAAAUAAAUAAUUUUUUUUUUACUAAAUUUGUUUUAAUAAAAAUAAAUUAACAUAUAACAACAAAACUUAAAAAAAAAAAGUUGAAGUCAAAACUGUAAGCUUAACCUUAUUUAUUUUUAAAAAUAUUAAAUUUUUAUUCUAACAUUUUUUAUUAUUUAUUUUUUAAAGUGAUAUUAAUAAAUAAUCAAAUCAUAGUUUAUUUUAGAACAUAAUUUUUUUAUUGGUAGUAAGUUAAAUAAUUUUUUUAUUUUUAGUAAUGAUUUAUAUUUUUAAAAAUAACAUUUUUAUUACACAACCUAAUAAAUAUAAAUUGCAUUUAUGGAAAAAAAGUGGCCAUGCUAUCCUUAUUGUUACAAUCUUAUUUAGGUGAGAAUUAGAUGUAAAUAAAUGAUUGCAUUUAAUAUAUAUAUUAUUUUAAAUUAUUUUUUAUCAUAUAAAUAUUUGAAAAAUAAAUAUAUUUUCUUAAUUUCAAAACUUGAAUUAGCCAAAAUGUUAAAAGAGUUUGUUAGGAGAGAAUUUUCUUUGCUUUAUAUAAACUUUUUUGCUUAAUUGAAAGAAAAGUACAGGUUGAUUUUACGUGACAUGUAAUUUUGCCAAUAAGAUUUGAGAGUUCAACCAUAUCAGUCUUUGUCAAGUAUUGGAUGCAGCUUCCUGCUUCCUCAUGCCUAUGUCUAAUUGCUUAUUUAUUUAUUUUAUUAAUUAUUAAAAAAAAUUGAGAAUAAUUCUCAAUUGUUUUCAAAAAUAAAAUUUUAUUUGAAAACUUCAACAUGAAUAGCAUGGUUUUAGAACAAAUUCUCGAGAAACUAUUUUCUAUCAUAGAUUUGUUAACAUGUUUUUUAAAAUAAAAAAUUGUUUUUAAGAAUAGUUUUCAAAUAGGAUUUACUCCUUCCUUUUUCAAGUUAUACUUAUAAUGUUGAGUUUUGGGUCAAAACAGUCUUUUUAUGGGAAAAAAAAUUAAAUUUAACAAUUUUGCCUAAUUUAUGUUAAAAAUGAUCUUUUUAUUGCCAUGUAGCAGUUAUAUCAUUAAAAAAAAUAUUUUAAAAAAAACAUUUAAGAUGAAAGCCAAUACAAUAAGAUCAAAUCCUACGAUGUUAUCCCAUAUUAAUGUAUCAAAAGCAUAAGCUUAUUUGAGCACUCUAAUUUCUUCGAAGUAACAACAUCGAAGGCACGACUCGACCAAUUAAGGUCAAGAGUGCAUCACCGAUAGAAGGGAUGAGAUGACAUGUGUGCACUGCAAGGUGGAUCAGUUGACCUAUCCCAAGUCUCAAUUAUCAAUUGAGGUUUCAAUUAAAAAAUAAAAAUUCAAUUGUUAAUUACGAUUUCAUUUUUUAACUUAAAACCUCACUUACUAAUUGAGGUUUUAUUUUUUGAGAAGGAUGAUAUGACACUCACGUGAUUGAAAAGUGGUGGUAACUCAUCAAACCGGAGAUUUUAAACCAAAAUUCUAUCAUUUGAAACAUUCAAAGAAUUUAUGAUAUAUAUAUAAGUCAUUGUCUUUUGUCUAAGUCUGUAACAUUCUUGAUGUAACAUUCUUGACAAUUUGAAGUAGUGGAGUUGUCUUUUGGGAAAAGGUGGGUGUACCAUUAUUAUUAGGGGGAAUUACAAUGUCUUCCCAUUUAUAAAUAAAGCCAAAGUAUGCUACGUAUGUGAUGUGAUGUAACGCUUUCUUUUUGAACCAAGAUAAACAUAAGAAAUAAAAUAUUGAAACACGAUCUUUUAUAAGUAUGGUGCAUUGGAUGCAUAAACAAAGGUAAGACAAUUCAAUUUGUUUUGUCGAUUCUAGAUAUGUGAAUAACAUAUUGUCUUUUUUUUUUUUCUAAGUCUUUGAGGUUAAAAGCAUUUUCCAUGAUAAUGAAUUAAUGAUAAGGCAUUGGCAAUGGAUAGAUGAAACUCAAUUUAACGGGAGUAGGGAUAUUUGAAUAGAACGGCAAAAUAACUUUGAAAUUGGAAACAUGGUUCCGUUUGAGAAGUAUUUUCAAAAAAAGUCGUGAAAAACAAUUUUUAAAAGUUAUUCUCUAAUGUUCUCCUUAUGGGACGCUCACAAUCGUCUCCUAGUGUUGUCUAGAUCAUAGCAAAAUGACACAAGAGUUAUGUAGUCUAGUAUUUACCAGAUGGACAUAAAUCAAUCGAGUACUAAACAUUCCUACCUGACAAGCAUUAACUACAACAGAUAUUGAACUGUCAUGAUUGGCGUAACCGUUAUCAAGUUAAAAUAUUAGUUUUUUAGGUUCAUCAAAUCAUGACAACAAUUAUGGAUCAACAAUCAUUGACAUUAAAGACAUUAGCGCUCAAUUAAAGGCACCAUUAAAGCACCUAAGAAGGCAUUAAACUUGGACAAGAUUAAAUAACCACUUUUGGACACAAGAAAGGUAUACUGCUACUUUUCCAAGAAAUCUAUAUUGUUCAAGUCUUCACUCUUUGACUUAAGUUUCAAAAGGGUGUGCCCAGACAACCCAUCCAGACAUUCCUUUGUGCAAAUCAAAGUGUCGUCUAAGCUUCGGAGGCUAGUCGGACUCUCCUUGUUGGUUGUGCACCAACACUCUCUUUGUAUUUCUCUCUCAUCUUUAAUUCAUUUCCUUCUCAUCUAUGUUAUCUAAGUUCAUGUUGUUCUCUCUCUUCCUAUAAAGUCCUUGUGACCUCACUAUUAUCGAUUUCUCAAAGUCUUUGCUUCUUCAACUUGGUUUUCCUCCCACCAUUACAGCUUUAUUUGUCUCCUUCUCACUAUCACAACUUCCUUGAUCUUUCUCAUACCACACAACUUUGUUCAUCUCCCUCACAAUCACAUUUUUGUUGGUUUUUUUUUUUUUUUUCUUUUGUUAUAAGAACUUCAUUUUAUCAUAUGACAAAGUCAAACAAAGUGAAACAACUCAUGUUGCAUCAUAAUGUAUCGUAAUUAACUUUUAUUUAGAAAGAACUUAAUUGGGGUUAAGUUUUCAAUUGUAAUAGUCACUUGACCGGGAUAAAAAAAUUCCAACAACAUCAACUAAAAUCUAGGGAUUUGGACAGAAAAAAAAAAAAAUUGUUCAUAUUUCAUCUAUAGUGAAGUUUGGAUAGUAAUUGCAUGAGACUGCAAAACUGGGGGAAAUGAAGUUAGAUCAGAGAUUUAGCCAACAACGGUUUUCAAUCCAAACUGAUCAUCUUUGACAUUGUAGGAAUUCAAAUGAAACUGCCAAAAAUCUUUAACAAAAAACAAAGAGAAAGAUUGGGAAUGUAAAGGAUCUUGGAGAAGAAAGAAGAAUGAGAGAACUUCCCUCUGUAAUUUUUUAAAUGGAUAAGACUCUGAUGUUUCUUUAUCCAUUAAUCUCUAUUCUAGGGUUUGGGCUUCACAAAAAAGGAUCAAUGAAUAAAGAAAGAUUACAGAGAGGAAGAGAGCUAGGUAGCACAAAUGAGAGGAAAAUGGAUUAGAAAGGAGAGGGAAAGAAGUUCUUAGAGAAAUUAAAGAAGCUUAAAUAUCUGGAAACUAAGUCAUUUCCACGAAGAAGAAUAAGCCAAGGAGGUCAUUUUUCCAACUUCAAACCCUGCAAAAUUACCAUUGAAGGCUUAAGGAGAUCAUCCCAACAACAUCAACAAUUUACAUGGGAACUUAGAUGGAGAAUAAGAUCUAAGGUGCAGUAUUUGAACAAUAUGAGUCAUGACCCCUUCUUUUUUGUCUCUUGAUGACAAUUUUUAAGUCUUACUGCUUCUUGGCAUGCCUCUGACAGAAGGCUUUGAUCCUGCCAAUCCCAUCUUCAAGGAAUGGAGGCUCAGUGGCAAAAGUUAUACGAAGCCAAUUCUUCAUUCCCACAGCAAAACCUGCAACAAAGCCCACAAAUUACUCCACCAUCCUUCAAUCUGUAAGCAAAGUGUAUCAUAUUUUGCAUACCAUUUAUUCCUUUUUUUCAUAUUCUCAAUUUGUUAACCCAACUUCAAAGACUCAGAUUCUUUGCUUCUUACCGGCCAAAAUAAUCACUGAUUCCUCUUUAGACAGCUUCAUACAGAAAUCCAUAUCAUCAUCUAUGUCUUCCAGUAGAGACACAUUUAGUUUCACCUGCAGUGGUACUAUAAUUGAAAAUUUCUUCAACUCCAUAUUUUAAUUUGAAGCAACUCAUAAUAUCUCAUAUAUUCUUCCCUUACCAUUACAGACAUGGCUCCUUCUGGUUUGUGUGGGCAAGUAAUGCAGGGGAUAUCUGCAAGUCCAUCAAAGCAUAUGUCUGCAGUUUUUCCGAGUAAGCUAAUAAUUCUCGAGAAGAAAUCAUCUGUCGUUUUCUCAAUGAUUUGAGGAACAGCCCCCUGAUAAAAAAAAACCACAUGAUUAAUUAACUAAUGUGCUUGGUCUCCCUGGUUAGACCCUAGGGUGUUUACCAUACUGAAGAGCAUAGAUAACAACAGAAUUUAUAUACUUUCAUCAGAAAAAUGUAUGUUGAAUCACAAACCUGGAUGAAGCUUGUAGGGUCAGCACAAAUAUUGAGAUAACUCACAAUGGUUUCCACAAUCUGAGAAGACAGACAAAAAAGAUGUUAAGUUUUAGUUUGAGUACUGCAGGAAAAUCAGAUCAAAAAUAUAAAGAUCAGAUGCUAUUUACAAUUUUUCUUGAAUGUCCUGCAUUUAAUUGCAGUAUAUGAAAUGGGGUUGCUCCAUGGCACUAUGUAACAAGAACAAAUUUGAAGUUUUGAGAGAGAGCAGUAAAUUAGGGUGGUCAGGGAAGAGAGGGAGGACCCCGGAUUUGCAGAGGAUGCCAUUAGGAUCAUUGGUCACGAGCCAGCCAAGUCUCCAACCAGGAACAAUCCAUCUUUUUGAUAUGGAUCCAAGUGUUAUAACAGGCGUGAUCGACCCAAAUACUCCCAUUGGCACAAAAGGAUUACUCCCAAAAACAAGGUGGCCAUAUACUUCAUCAGCAAUCACAAGAAUUCCGAGCAUUCUUGCAGUUUCCGCCACCUGCAAAAUCCCUAGCUGGAACAUCAUUUUCCAUUACAAAUUAAUUAUAAAACCAUGUUCCUAGAAGAUAGCUUAGCCUAGCCUACCUUCUUCAGAUGCUGGUGUGUAAAGACAUUGCCACAGGGAUUGCCGGGGUUGAUGAUAACCAUAGCAACAGUGUUCUCAUCUGCAAGAGCUUUGACUCCCUCCAGAUCAACCUCCCAAACCUUCUCGGGAAGAAGAUCAAACCGACGGAAUUCCAGAUGGUUAGCUGCAGCAAGAGCUUCAUAGAACGCAUAACCAGGUCUUGGGAGAAGAAUGUUGGCACCAGGGCGAGCAAGGACCUUUAUUAUGAGUUCAAUUGCUUGUCCACAUCCAACUGUGAGAUAAACAUCAUCUGGGGAUAGCUUGUAUGGAAGAUCAGUAGAGAGAUAUUCCGCUAUAGCCCUUUUAAUAAAAUGGAAGUAUAAGCCUCGGGUUGAAUUGAUUAAUCUGAAAAUUUUGCUAAAGGAAAAUGACAGUCUUUUCUGGGACUGUCCAGAAAACUUGGAGCAUUUUGCAGCCAAAAACAACUAUUGCUGUUCUUAAAAAGGGAGAAGGAAUGGAACUAAACGGGAAUAGAACUAAAAGGGCAUAGAAAAUAUAUCAUAUACUUCAAAAAUGGUUUGAAAUCAUUUCCAAUCUCUCCGAUCAAAGGGGAUGCAGCAAGAGAGGCCAAGACCCUACCUCCUCGCUGGAAGAACGCCGACGUCGGGGGGAUAGGAGUCGAAUUCCCGUGACCGCACGGCGUCGACAAUGGCCUCUUCGGCCUCCGGAGCGGUCCGGAAGCAGGAAAAGGCAGAUGGGUCACCUUGGCCGAGAGUAAUAACAGGUCUGCGAUCUUGUGGAUUGAGAUUAGAUAUAACUUUUCUCAGAACUCCCCUUACGGUGAUGGAGGCUGCUUUGUCCAAUACUUGGUUUCCCCGGAAACCCCAUCUCUCCGCUGCUCCAUUCUCCAUCCUCUUCCUUUCUUCCUCCAGAUUUGAGUUGUACUGUGGUGGGGAUUUUAGUGGGAGAGAGAUUUUUUUGUGGGAAAUGUGGUGUGGUGGAGUGGAGCCGAACCAGUUUUCUUUGUGGCCUGUCUGCUUGCCCUCGAGUCCUCGACAAAACGACAAUCGCAACAAUUUGGAAAUGUAAAUUGAUGAUUCUGAAGUUGGUGCGUGACCAAUGACGAUCAAGUAGCAGCUUGGAGAAAUGCACAGGGACGGAAUGUGAGGGUUUAACCCAACUCAAUCCUUAAACUCGAGGCUCUUAGUCCAAGGUCGGUUUCAUCGUAGUUGAAUUCGAGUUGGUGGGGUUAAAUUGAAUUAAAAUUAUUUUAAUUUUUUAUGUGUUUAUAUAAAAAUUUGGGAAAGUUGUGUUUUGCCCACCAAUUUGGACUUAAUAGCUUUUUAGGAACCCAACUCUCCGUAAUCCAAAAUAUGUCCACUGUUGGCCAAAAAAAUAUCAUUUCUAUGCACUCUCCACUGCUUAUAAUUUCAUUUCCAGAAUUACCCCUUCAGCCUCCCAUGUCAGCAGCCAUCUUCCUCUCCAUGUCACUACGGGAAGUUAUGCUUUUAGCCUCCCAUGUCAGCAGCCAUCUUCCUCUCCAUGUCACCACGGGAAGUUAUGUUUUUAAGCACCCAUGGUUAUCAUACCUGUACGAGCCUAUAUCAUCUUGAACAACCUCAAGAUUUCUUGGUGGAGAAGACUACAUGCUGCAAGUGCCCUCGUAUGCUUGGAUUUGGGUGUCUUGGUGAGAGGGAAAGAACCCUGGUUGAUUCUUGAUUGAAAUGGGUAAUAUCUAGGGAAAGUGAUCUUCAAUGGCGGGUUCACCCCUUAACACGCCUGCACAAUGCAUUGGAAGGUGUGUUGGUUUUGUUGGUGAAAUCUAUCUUUUCUCCCCCCUUCUUGAGUUGUACUGCAAUUAUAAAUUGGGAAAAACUAACAAAGAGAGAUUCUAAGAUGCUCAACCAUAAGGGACCCUAGGUACUACCUUAAGGUAACCUUUUCUAAGCCUCGGGUCUUCCUUUGUGACCCUUACACCAUCCCAUCAUGUGGUUCUCUUCAGUGUUGAAAUGAUCCACCAAUGGUUUCUCGGGACUGUAACUUAGGUACUACCUUAAGAGCCCUUAGAUACUACCUUAGUAGCCUUGAGGUACUACCUUAAGGAACCCUAGGUACUACCUUAAGUUAAACUUGAACUCAACCUCUCACAAGCAUCGGGUCUUCCUUGGUGAUCCUUAGACCAUCCAAUUAUGUGGUUCUCUUCAUCCCUCAAAUGCUCCACCAAUGGUUUCUUGGGACUGUAGCUUAGGUACUACCUUAAGGGCCCUUAGGUACUACCUUAGUGGCCUUAAGGUACUACCUUAAGGGACCCUAGGUACUACCUUAAGUUAAACUUCAACUCAACCUCUCCAAAGCCUCGGGUCUUCCUUGGUGACCCUUAGACCAUCCAAUUAUGUGGUUCUCUUCAUUCUCCAAGUGGUCCACCAAUGGUUUCUUGGGACUGUAGCUUAGGUACUACCUUAAGGGCCCUUAGGUACUACCUUAGUGGCCUUGAGGUACUUCCUUAAGGGACCCUAGGUACUACCUUAAGGUAAACUUGAACUCAACCUCUCCCAAGGAUCAGGUCUUCCUUGGUGAUCCUUAGACCAUCCAAUUAUGUGGUUAUCUUCAUCCCUCAAGUGGUCCACCAAUGGUUUCUUGGUAUUGUAGCUUAGGUACUACCUUAAGGGCCCUUAGGUACUACCCUAGUGGCCUUUAGGUACUACCUUAAAGGACCCUAGGUACUAGCUUAAGGUAAACUUGAACUCAACCUCUCCCAAGCAUCGGGUCUUCCUUGGUGACCCUUAGACCAUCCAAUUAUGUGGUUCUCUUCAUCCCUCAAGUGCUCCACCAAUGGUUUCUUGGUUUUGUAGCUUAGGUACUACCUUAAGGGCCCUUAGGUACUACCUUAGUGGCCUUGAGGUACUACCUUAAGGGACCCUAGGUACUACCUUAAGCUAAACUUCAACUCAUAUUUAGUUGGACAACAUAUUUUUCAUAUUUCAAUUUGUUUUAAGCAUCAAUUGUCAUUUUUGGGUUUGUAUAAAUUAAAUUAGACAAAGCCUUAUGUGGUUUGGUUUUCCUUGUGCAUAUCAUUAAUUCUUUUACCAUUAAUGUUGGAUGUUGCUUCAAUGUGGCUAAUAAAAUCAUAGAUGAUAAUGUUUUCUACUAUUUUUAAUUUUGUUUGUUCAAUUAUAUUAAAUUGUAACUACUUGUCUCUUAUCCUGCUGUCUAAAAGAGAGAUGGACAGUACCAGGUUGAUUCUAAUGCCACUCCUACCAUGCUAAAUUGCCUCAUGUACAAACUGUCAUAUUUCAGGUCAGCUUUUGCUUUGGACUUGGUUCUUCAUAUGUAAAGGUUAUGCUUGGGUUAGUCUUUGAUACAUGAUUAUUUGUGUCUGUUUUCUUUUAGAUUUGUGGAGACAGAUGGUAAAGGCUUUCAUCGACUAAGGCGGACUGAAAUUGGGAAUAAAUAUUUCAAACUCACCCAUUUCAAGGAGGUUAGAUAAUCUAAAUCCCCAAUUUCGCAUUAGUGCAUAAAAAUGGAGUCUGCCACAAGAUCUUGAAGCCUAUCAGGCUGUCACAACUUAUUUGAGAGUUAAAACUUUGAACACUUGUCAUAUACUCAUAAUAUGGUGGUGCCUUGGGAUGUAGUUCGGAGAUAGUUCAGGUUUCAUGUUUGAGCCUCUUUGAAAUUUAAGUGUGGGAUAGAGGAAGAAUGGUCCAUAUCACCUGAGAUUUGUUUUGCCAGGUGAUACAUGUCUUACUGUUAGGGUGGAUUCCCCAUGAUCAGGAAAAGAGGGGAAAAAAAAUUAACAAAAUUGUUAAAUGUGGUGCUUAUUAUUGUAAUGUGAGUUAAGAGAAUGUUGACUUCUUAGUGUUAGUGUUGGACGCCCCAUCCAAAUGGCAUGUAUUUAAACUUGCCACACAGAACUCCUAAAGACAUCUCUUUUGACGUACACCAACCCUUAUGAGAUUGGGAAUUUUCUAUUGAAUAAUUUUCUCUAUAAAGUCCCAUGUCUGUUCUGAUUAACUUUCCAUGGUUUAGUUAUGAUUAACUGUCCAUGGUUUAUAAUCAAUGACCAUAAUUCGCUACUCAAUAUUGGAUGGUUUGGAUAUACAAAUUAAACCUCCGAAUAACAGGAUCCGUGUAAAAACCAAAGAAAUCAAAAUCGGUAUGCAUGAUAAACACCUGUACAUUGCAUUUGUUUAUGAUUCGGUGCAAAAUUACCCACUGACCUUUUGUUGUCUCCUCCCUUUGUAGAUAGCAAGCUCCACAACCAGCUCAAAAAAGAAAUAAGUAUCCCUGCCAAUGAAGGGCACCUCCAGAAGAUGUUGUCUCCAAUUAGUGACUUGUAACCCACAUAUUUAAUAUGCUUGAGCCUCUAGAGAGCUAGUGCACCAGCAUUAAUAGCCAUUUCUCUUAUAGAAAAGCAAACGUAUCAAUCAAAGAUACAAAAUUGUCUAUACAACAUUCAGAUGCAAAAUUGUCUUCUUACCCUUCCAGAAAGCCUAUAUCAACCAAUCAUUGAAAACUUGGACAUAGAAAUGCCAAAAGUACAUAAACAGAAUGCCACCUUAUGAAUCUCCACAGUCAAAUUAUCAACCCUUUCUCAUGGCAUUCAACAUUGUUUUCAGAUUUUCUCACUUUCUUUCAAGGAGUAUAUAUUAAAAAAACAUAAAAACAAAAACAUAAGUUAUAUAUGCAACAAAAGGACUUUCCCCAAUUACACGAACAUUUGUGAAUAAGAUUGAUUAGACAGAGUUUCUUGAGCAUGCAGAUACCAUUACUGUAUAUAUUACAGUCCUCAAGCUUCCUCUAUAUUUAAUGGGAUGUGUCUUAAGAUAUAAAGGGAACUAAAGGCAUACUGCUUAACUACCCUUAUCCAAAUAACAAAAUAAACCAAGGAGCCUAUUGUGAUGUCUUCAUCUUUGAUAUCUCGUCCAACAAGAAUCUGGAUUCAGCUUCAAAAUCAUCUUGCACAACAGCCCUGGCUGUGAUCCAUUGCCUUUUCUCAUUCUUGUAUUCAUGCUGUGCAACAAUAAUCUGGAAAAGAUUAGGGACCCAAAUAGCGUCCUUCAUUUUAUGUUGGAAUCGUUUUUCCUCUCCCUCCUGCGGAGAAAAUUGGGUUUUUAAAACAUCAGAUUUUGAAUGCUAGAAGUUCAUCCUUUUUUUGUUUCAUAGAACGCAACUACGCUACCAAAUAAGUAACCAACUACAUAUGAAUUAAUGCAUCACUGAGCAACUCUUUCAAGUUAACUAACAUUUUGGACAAACACAUAGAUAUUUCAAUACUGUCAAGAGUUUACCUGUGGUUUCAGCUUAUCAAGCUCAUCAGCAGAGCACCCAAAUAUUCUCUCUGCUUGUUCAUUGAACAGAGAAAGGAUAGCUUCACCACUAUCAUCUGAAACUUUCACUACCAUUAUGUACCUGGAAAACAAAACAGAAUGGAACAAAGAAACAUCAUUCAUAGGACAACACACACCUAUUUUAACUACUAUUGCUGGAUUCUUAUUUAAUCAAAUUCCAUGAAUCCCUCACCUUCAACUGCAGUCAUCAUCAUUCUUUUCCUCUCCUUCCCACCAAUACCCAGAUUCAAUAGCAUCUGUCACUUUCUUGUUGCAUGUCUGACAAGCCCGAUACAGUAAUACUCAUACAAUUGUGAUUAUUGAAAAUCCCACAUGUUCACAUAAAUGUAGGAUUUACACCUCAGACUUAGGUUGGAUAUUUGAGACUCAGUUUGGUCAGCUAACCUUUUGUUUAAACCCCUCUAAACUUGGAACUUCUAGACCCAAUAUGUCCUGACAGUAUACUUGAUGUUCUUGAUAAUUCGUCAUGUUCAGAUAAUUUUGUUACUCUUUUGAUAAAACAAAAAUUUUAAAGAUGGUUAAGACUCAAAAUUUGAUUUUGAAAGCCUGAGAAUUGAGAACCCCUUAGCUUUAGAAAAGAUUCCUCCAUUGGUGUUUUUCAUUUUAAGACCAUGCCCUCUUAAUAUUUCUCUUCCUUAACCAAUGGGCUCUUUCUCAGUUGCUUUAAGUGUUGUGAGGCCAGUGAGAGUUCUUGGUUCAGAAAAUGGACCCUGUAAUCUCUCUCUCUCAAUGGUUGUAGUUAUGGUUAAGCUUCUUGAUAUGGAUCAUCUUAUUGGUAGGAAUUGGACAAAUGCCUAACAUGGUGUGUUGUGAAAGGCAAGCCCAAGGUUGGUGUUUGUCUUGAUUACUUCCUUUUACAAAAUCCUUGACUCUUUGCAUUUGAAGGAUUCAAACAAAAGGAGGAAGAAGUUCUUAGGGAUAAUACCAGGUGCCCCUUUUGAUCUAGUUAAGAGGAGAGGAGAGGCAGUGGUGAGUAUAAAGGUUGUUUCUUUUGAAGGAUUUUAAGGCAGUUCGUUUCCUUUUGUUGUAUUUCCUUAUCCUGAUAUUUUGGUGAAUUUUUCUAUUAAUAAGUUAUCUCUAUUAAUAGCAAAGUAAUGUCUACAGUAGAUUCAUGGUAUUGCUGAUAAGAAAGUGUGAGAUGGUAUAAUUUGAAGGCUGGAAGCAUGUGGAAAGCUGUUACUGAGUGAGGAUGCAUUCAUGCAUGGAUACACAAAAAUAUCAUGUACCACAAGGACUAGUCCACUGACCAGAAUGGUGGACAGCUUGAUUUAUGUUGAAAGGGGUAAAUGAACAAGAGGAAGACAAGCAAAAACGUGAAUUGAGGUGGUGAAAAGAAAGGAUGUGAAUAUAAGUGUUCAACUAAAGGAAUGAUCCUGUAGAUAGCAGGAUGGUCAAGAAGGAUUUGAUGCCAGUGAUCCUAACAAGUUGGGAUGGGUUGAGUUGAUAUACCAACUAUCAACCAAAUAUGAGUUUCAUAUACUAUUUAUGACAUAUUGAUAUUUGUUUUCCUAAGCCCAACUAGGUGGGAUACUGCUAUACUUGGUUAAUUUAUGGAUUUAGAACCACUUGAAGGGUUAGCAUCCCCAUUUACCGUGAUUUGACAAAGGUUUAGAAUAAUUUAAAUUGCUGUAUUCGUAUACAUUAGACUGGUAGCAGGGAAAACAAAUAGAUCAGUAGGCCUUCUAGUAAUCGAGGCCUAUGAUUUCAUUCUUACUGGUACAUUGAUGACCUCAUGUCCAGCCCUGUGCCUUUUGUUCUUAUACAUGCAUCAUGAGGAUAGACUGAAAGACUCUGAACAAUAUCUGAUCUAGCCGUAUACAUGUAUAUAGUAACCCUGAACUGAGACCCAUUAUUUUGUUCUUACAUCUGUAUGGUGUGGACACCAGAUCUAAAUCAAUAUAUGUAUACUACAUAGGCACAGUGAGGACACUUGAUCUACGUCAGAAUAUGUAUACUAUGUAAAUACUCUAAUCAACUCAAAGAGGAAAAAAUAAUACCCAACCUGAAAAACUGCCUUGGUCAACCUUUUGACUUCUGCUAUAUCCACUGUGUUCUUCCUUUGCAUUCUAUGUUGGGCAUGCCCUUGCUGGUCUGGGACAGACCUGUGCGAAAGGAGACAACAUAAACAUGGCACGGGCAGAAUUGAAGAGCAAAAAUUAAUAGGAUAAAAGAAUUAUAGCUCCUGACCUAUGAUCUGGGUAUAUUUGAUUGUAGUUCAAUCAUUUGAAAAAAAACAAAUGGCUUAUAAUUUAACUCAUUGAAGAUUUUUUUUUUCAUGAUCCUUCCAGAUACAGUAAACAUUAUAGCUCAUUCCCAAAUUGUAAUGGAGAAAUAAUUUAUUUUCUUCAUAUAUGUUUUUUUUUUCCUUUUUAUUCCAUUUUCCAGGUAAUUGGAUCUAUCACUGGGGUUAGGCUCCUCAUUGACACCUUUCCUGAAGUGGGAUUUGGGCCACGUUUGAUUGUUGACAUCCAUCAUGGUGCACUGACAGAAGGGUUUCUGACAUUUUCAAUUGUUAUGAUCUCGGUGACUAAAUCUUUUUGGCCUUAUGUAGGUAAUGGGAUGGGCUUAUGCUCGCGGGGAUCAUAUAACCAAGGAGCAUAUACUUGUUUACUGGCUUGCCCCAAUGGAGGCACUCUACUGGCAGUCUGGACAUUCCGGUUGCUGGUUCAGCCACACAAGGAGGAGAAAGAAAAAAUGAAGGCUAAUUGUCAAUGUUCAUUUGUCAAGGUUGAGUAGGUCUUGGUUGAGCUGUGCAGUUGGUUUUUAGGAACAUUUAGAUGGUUAUGCUUUUAGACUCUGGUUACCUCCUUUUAGUUUGAUCCAAGGCCCAUAGCCCAAUCCGAAUGAUUGAUAUGUUUGCAAAAAACAACAAAAGGCAGAGCUCCGUCAAGCCUGCAGAAUCUGAGUGGUUGGGAGUGGGAUGGGACUUGGGAGACACCCAUCUAAUAUAUAGGGAAAGUUGUGUUUUUUCCCUCCCCCUGUUUUAUGGAUCUGUUCUAGGGGCCAUUAAAAUUAAAUUUCGCAAACCCUAAACCCACGAUUUUUGAGUUAGGCUGAAAAAUACCAUUUUUGCCUGCAAAUCGUGAUCAGAUUACCAAAUAGCAUCUUAUUGUGCCAUUGGAUUUAAAUUUCGCAAACCCUAAACCCACAAAUUUUUACCCAGGCUGAAAAAUACCACCUUUACCUGCAAAUCGUGAUCAGAUUACCAAAUAGCAUCUUAUUGUGCCAUUGGAUUUAAAUUUCGUAAACCCUAAACCCACGAUUUUUUAGCCAGGCUGAAAAAUACCACCUUUGCCUGCAAAUCGUGAUCAGAUUACCAAAUAGCAUCUUAUUGUGCCAUUGGAUUUAAAUUUCGCAAACCCUAAACCCACGAUUUUUUAGCCACCCUCAAAAAUACCACAUUUGCCUGCAAAUCGUGAUCAGAUUACCAAAUAGCAUCUUUUUUAAAAAUAAAAAAUAAAAAUGUUUAGAGAGCUCGUGAACAAUGCAAAACAACCUUCAUCCCAAAUCUUUUCUCAACAGCCACACAAAGCCUUAAAUGGAAAACUCACCUGCGAUUACUCCAAAAGGAAGACCAAGCUCCACCGCGGUUUCCAGAAACGAUCCAUGAAAUUGCAGAUCACGUUAGGGCAAAAGGAGAGAGAGUCACGGAGUUCCCAAAUUUCAGAGUUUAUAGGUCGGGUGUUGCGUGGGUUUUCCUAAUUUCCUAACUGGGGUAAUUUCGGAAAUGAAAUUAUAAAACAGUGGAUAGCGCAUGAAAAGGAUAAUUAUUUUGCAACAGUGGACAUAUUUUGGAUUACGAAGAGUUGGGUUCCUAAAAAGCUAUUAAGUCCAAAUUGGUAGGCCAAAACACAACUUUCCCUAAAAAUUUAAAUAAUAAAUAAGAUAAAAUUUUAAUACAAUAAAAAAAUAAAAAUAAAUUUAUAUAUAUUUAAAAAAAAAUCAAAUAAACAUAUAAUAUAAUAUAAUUUUAUAUUUUAUCUUUAAAAAAUUUUAAAAAAUAAAUAUUAUUAUAUAUGAUAAUAUAUAUUACAAUUAUUAUAAAAACAUUAAAUCUGAUCGAGAUUUGUUAAUAUAGAUUAUAAUCCCGUUACAACUUUUUUGGAAAAAGGCCAUAGCAUCAUUUUCUUGGUCUCAAAGGGUGAAAUGUGUGAUAAGGAAAAAUCCUAAGAUUCACAAUUUAUAAAUUUUUUAUAUAAUUAAAUAUUGAAUAUAAUCUUAGAAGAAAAGAAAAUAUUCAAGGAAUUCUUUUCUUUAAUUCUUAAGUUAGAUUUUUUCACUUAUUCAACCUAAUAGCAAAAUUCUAAUAUUUCUUAGCCUUAAUUAGUUACUUCAACCAUAUUUUCAUGCUUAUAUUUUAGUAUAUGCAAAAAUGAGGAGAAAAAAUAACAACAAAUAAAAAGUAUGUGAAGCACUUUUCCUUAAUAUGUGUUUAAUUAUAAAAUUCUUAUGCCUUUUUUAUUUUUUCACUUUAAAUAAUAAUUUUAACUAUGUUUGGUUUCGAAAAUUUUGAGGGAAAAUGUAAGAGAGAGAAAAUUGAUGGGAAAAGUAGAAGGAAAGAAAAAAAAUUAAAAUUAAUAAAUUAUUUUUAUUUGCUACUUCAAACUUAUUUAACUUAUUUUAACUCAUCAAUAUAAAUAUUAAAUAAUUUGAAAAUGUGUAAGUUACUUUAAGACAACUAAAUAUGGAAAAAUCAUUUUCCUUAAUUUUUUUUCCCCUUUUGUUAGUACUUUUUAGUUAUGUUUGGUUGUCGAAAAAUUUGAGGGAAAGAAAAUAUAAAGGAAAAGUACAAGAAGAGAAAAAAUAAAGGAAAAUGCAAAAUAAAUUAAAAGUCCAUAAAUUAUUUUUAUUUUCUACUUCAAAACUUGUUUUACUUAUUUUAACUCAUCGAUAUAAAUAUUAAAUAAUUUAAAAAUACAUAAGUUUCUAAUUAGUUUUAAUUAUAUUUGAUUUUCUUUUAUAUUUUUCAUANNNNNNNNNNNNNNNNNNNNNNNNNNNNNNNNNNNNNNNNNNNNNNNNNNNNNNNNNNNNNNNNNNNNNNNNNNNNNNNNNNNNNNNNNNNNNNNNNNNNAAUCAACCAAACCAAAAAUAAGAAAAUUAUUUUCUUUUUUUGUAUUUUAUUUUAUUUCUAGGAAUCAAAUAUUAGUGUUUUUUGGGAAAAUGAGAAUGAAAGAAAAUAGAGGGAAAAAACAUAAGAAAAAAAAAUAAGAAAAAUUAAAAAUAGGUUUAAAUUUAAUAAAUUAUUUUUAUAUAUUUCUUCAAACUCAUUUUACUUAUUUUUCUUUAUUAUAACAAAAUUAAGUAAUUUAAAAAUAUUUAAAUUUCAAAUUAAUUUUAAUUAUAUUUAACUUUCUAUAGUGAAACCAAACACAAGAAAAUUAUUUUACUUAAAUUUUUUUUUCUUUCCCUAAUAUUUUUUUCAUAAGAUAUAUAAUUUUAUUAUUUUUAAUAUAAAACAAGCUCCACUCUUUUACAUUUUCUCAUUUUUUUUUUUUUUUUGUCUUUUUGUUUUCAGCGUUUACCAUGGGGAAAGUUAUGCUUUGGGCUUCCCAUCCUAACAUAAUAGCAUUUUCAAAACCCAACAAUGGGAAAUAUGAUAAUCAACUUUUAAUAUGAAAAAUUUUAUCAUUUUUGUGCACUCUAAGCUAGCUCCAUCUUCUGUACCCAAAUUGCUCCUCUGUUUCUCCAGCUCAGCAUCCUCAGCAUCAUCACAACCUCCAUAUCACCCUCUCUCAUUUGGAAGUUUUCUCUAAUUUUUCUUCACUCCCGAAAACCCAAAAUCUCUCAUUUCAUUUUAGAAACUCAAAUCCAAAACUCUAAGACGAUGUUAAAAUGUGCCUUUCAGCUUGUCUAAGAGUCAUGGGAGUCUAAGAGAAUUCAGGAAAAAUGAAAUAGAGCUCGGGUGGAGAGAGUGGGUACCCAAAAAUUGAAACCCUAACCUUCAAAUGUGUCUUAGACUCACAAAUCUGUGUCCAAGAUAGCUAUAUUAGCAAUAAAUAACACCAAACAUCUUUCCUAGAUCAUUAAAUCGGCUAAGCCCUUGAAGAACCAAAGGAAAUGGUGCAGAAAAUGAAACACAAAAGACUCUUAAAGUAUUGGGUCCCGACGAACCGGCCGACUNNNNNNNNNNNNNNNNNNNNNNNNNNNNNNNNNNNNNNNNNNNNNNNNNNNNNNNNNNNNNNNNNNNNNNNNNNNNNNNNNNNNNNNNNNNNNNNNNNNNUAAGAGUCUUCCAUGCUUCAUUUUCUGUACCAUUUUCUCUAGUUCUUCAAGGGCUUCGUCAAUUUAAUGGUUUAGGAGAGAUGUUUGGUGCUAUUUCUUGUUAAUAGGGUUAUCUUGGACACAGAUUUACAAGUGUAGGACACAUUUGGAGGUUAGGGUUUCGGUCUUUGGGUACCCACUCUCUCCACCCAAGCUCUAUUUCGUUUUUCCCGGAUUCUCUUGGACUCCCAUGGCUCCUAGACGAGCCGAAAGACGCAUUUUGACAUUGUCUUGGAGUUUUGGAUUUGAGUUUCUGAAUUGAAAUGAGAGAUUUUGGGUUUUCGGGAGUGAAGAAAGAUGAGAGAAAGCUUCCAAAUGAGAGAGAGUGAUAUUGAGGUUAGGAUGAUGCUGAGUUGGAGAAACGGGGGGAGCAAUUUGGGCAUAGAAGAUGGAGCCAACUCAGAGUGCACAAAAAUGAUAAAACUUUUCAUGUUAAAAGUUGAUUAUCAUAUUUCCCAUUGUUGGGUUUUGAAAAUGCUAUUAUGUUGGGAUAUGAAGCCCAAAAACACAACUUUCUCAUUAAUGGAAAAAGAUGCUUGCAAGGCAAGCAAUCAAAGGGACAAAAUCAAGUCAAUUUUCAAUAUUAAUAGAAUUAAAGUUGACAAAUUUUCAAAGCAAACAAUCUUAUAAGGUAGGAAAUUAAGGUGUGGUUUGACCACUUAUUUGAAUAAGUUACUUUUAAAAAUAUUUUUUCUAUUUUUAUUUUGUAAAAACAUUAUAAAAUUAAUUUAUAUAAUAUUAAUUAAAUUUAAUUCAAACGGUAUUGAAAAUGAAAAUAUUUUUGUAAUUAUAAAUAAAUUAAAAAAUAAAUAGUUUUUAGUAAAACAUGAAUAGUAACAUUAUAAUAAAAUUAUAAAUUACAUUUUUUUAUAAUAAAAAAUUUACUGUUUAGUAUAUGUUAGAAAUAUAAAAAUAUUAACAUUUUUGGAAUGAAAAAUAAUUAUUAUUAAUAAUAUUUUAUUUAAAAUGAAUAACAAAUUAAAUUUAACUUUUUUUUACAUGUAAAUUCAAGUUUUUUAUUACAUGUGCUCAUUUAUUACUCAACUAGGAAUAUAAUAUUUUAAAAUAUUUUAAUUUAAUAUUACUAAUUGGAUUGAUUUUUUGUUCCAAAUUAUUCUUAAAAAUUAAAAUAUUUAUUAAAUAAAUUAAAUUAUUAAUUAUGUCUUAUUUAAUUUAUAAUCUAUUUCUAUAAUGAUUUUUUUUAUUUAAAAAUAUAGUUAUAUGUUUAGAAGAAAUAAUAUAUCAGUUUUGAUUUAUUAUUUUUUUAGUGAUUAGGUUUAUUUUUAAAAUUUUAAAUUAAUUUUUAAAAAUUUUAAAAUUCAAUAAUAAAUUCAACAAAAAGCUUGAGAAGAGGGGAUAACAGAAUAAGGAAAAAAAGGAGAGAGAGAAGGAGUAGGUAAAAUGAGAAGCUCGUGGGAUCUUGUUUGGGUUGGAGGAAGAAGAAGAGAGUGCUAGAAGCCCAGCCCAUACUGCUAGAGGAGAAGUGUUACUGGGUAUGGUUAUUGGAAAAUUUUUAUAUGUGCUAACAUUAAUUGAAUAAUUUAAAUUUGCAAAAAAAAAAAAAAAAAAAAAACGGCUUAAUAGAUAGUCUAUGAUAUAAUGAGCUCAAUUAACUAGUGAUCAUAUUUGGAUUAGGUUUUGCAUCUUUUGAAUAAAAGCUCAGUUGAGUGGCAAGUAUAGGUUAUGGGUCUCAUUGAAGCCCAUUAUGGGAGGGCCCAAUAAGAACUCAAUAUUGAGUUAUGUUAAGUCCCCUCUCUAAUCUAGAUAAAAUGAUGUUUUUUGUUUUCCCGUAGAAUCAUCAUAGCUGUUAUCAAGAUCAUAGAGAGGAAGACUUAGUUGCAACAGUCAAUCACUUUUUUUUUUUUUUGUGAUGGCUCAAAUAGGUAUGUUUUUUAUAGUAAUUUUCUAUUGUUAGUUUCCUUUAAUCAUGUAUGAUUAAUUUAUGUGAUUAUAUAAAUAUCUUACAAUGGUUACUACGGAUCAUAGUUCUUUUCAUUAAUAAUCUAUUCUUCGUCAUUUUUUUGGAUGUUUCUAGGCAUUUGUUGUUGUUUGGGAGUAGAUGAAAGAAGCUUCAUAUUAUCCUGCAGAUUCAGAAUUUGAUUGAAAACUUGAUAUUGCUUUAUUUUCCUGUUCUGUUGGACUUAACUUUGAGACUGAAUCUGAAUAUACACUGACGUUUGCUACUUGGUAUUUGAAGAUCACACUUUAAUUCUUGUUUAAAAUUCAUCCUAGCAUGUUCAGUUGUUUCAAGCCCAUUGACAAAUAAUGAAAUGUGGCUUGUUUGGCUACCCACUCCUUGUUUGCCUCUUCUCUGUUUCUCUUGUGUUUCAUUUCUAUGCUUCUGUAUCUAUAUCUCUUCCCUUUUCAUUAUUUGGUGCCCUGGGCUAUGGAGGUCAUAGUAGGAUGAGUAUUUCAAGAGAAGUGGGAACUUUGUGAAGACUGUGUACAAUAAGGAUUGCUUGUGGUCUCGUCAGAUGCAGAGACUUUUUUUUUUUUUUUUUUUUUGUUUCUGGGGGGCUCUCUGUUUGUGGUAUGCUGGGUUGGUAUUCAUCAGUUGCAUUCUCAUCUGGGAGAGACGGGGAGAGUUGGGUAGUGGUGGAGAGGGUGAGAGGAUGAAGAUCGAUCUUGAGAGAGUUGGGUUGCUGAGUAAAAACAUCCAAGAUUGAAAAUGAUGAUCUGUAUAUUGAACUAUUGCGUGGAUUCAAGCCUUCGGUGAUGAAAUUCCCACGUACAGAAGUAUUCUUUCCAAUGACCGCUGUUUCUAUAUUGGAACCCCAGAAGAAAGGCUAUUUCCUUUGUGCAGAAACUCCUGAUGCAGCCAGAGCUUGGGUAUUUACUUUGCAUGCAACAUAGUUGGUUCUCAAGGCACCCUUCAAUCCGAAGGACAGCAGAGAAAAGAUGACUCAGAUCACGUUUGAGACCUCUAGUGUGCAUGCCAAGUCCCAGUCCCAUGCACGAGUCAUAUUCCACCUUGGGUACAUACAUGAGCAUCAAGAAGGAAACUUUCUGGACCACCUCAAGCAUCACAGCUGGAAAUAAAGAUCAGAUACGGUCUAUAAUUGAAGCUGACCUCUUUCUACCCCUUGUUUAUCUGCUUCAAAAUGCUGGAUUUGAGAUCAAGAAAAAUGAUGCUUGGGUCAUUUCGAAGGCUCCUCUUGGUGGACCCAUGACCAAAUAAAGUUCUUGGUGAACAAGGGUAUGGUAUUAAGCCAUCAUAUGAUCUUCUUAUCUGUCCCGACCCAAGAAUUGUCACCAUCUGCCCUUGCUGGAAUAGAAACUUUGCUGCAUGCACGCCUUGAUAUGAAGACCACGGUUGGAGACUCUCAAGGAAGAAAUGCAAGAAGGUUUUCUUACAUCGGUACAUUGAGGAUUGCACGGAGGAAAUGGAAUUCACUGAAACUGAGGGCAAUAGGAAUGAUGUUGUGUCUGAGUAUCAGCAACACCUGUGCCUGCAUCUUGGAAAGAAGUUCACAUGAACCUAAAAGAAAGUUUACAAGCAAGGCCAAAAAGUCAGCUCAAUCAGUCCCUCCGGUUGCACCAAGGAUUUCUCUGCACUGUUCUGCUGCCUCAUUUCAUCCACAGGUGGGCCCACCUGUGACUGUCACCCAUGCGGUUCCUGCACUAAGUCCUCUGCCAAGCCACAUUCAACUUGCUGCCACAGCCUCACCUAUUAUUGGAACCCAACAUUUAGAUGCUGGGAAUUCAGUCAAGGAGCAGGUAUUAAGAGUAAAAAUUGUAACUGGGAGGAUCCUUGAACCCAUUCAAUGCCAAGGGCUGAUGGUGUUGGAGCCCAGUCUGCCUUGCGUGUCCAGUCAGCUUUGAUCACCAAACCAGGACCAAUCAAUUCAAAACUUCUACCCCACUUUCAUAAGUGGGAAGACAAGUGCCUUAUUGCAGCGUAGUUCUGUACCGCCAUCUCAACAACCUCCUGGUUUUGUUUUAGGAAUUGAGCCUACUACUCAAACCCCUAAGCCUGUUUCUCAGGCAGCACCUGUUCGUUCUCCUGAAAAAUCACAGGCUGCCACCAAGAUCAAAUCCCGUUGAUCCUCAUAGAAAAAAUGUCUCUCUUCUGGAGGAAUAUUUCAGUGUUCGAAUUUUUGAUGAAGCAUUACAGCGUGUUGAUGAGCUGAGGUCUCCUACAUCUCACAUGGCCACGGGCUGCUCUGAUGGUACUUUGAAACUAUGGAGAAGCAACUCUUUUAGAUCAUCAAGCCCUCAUUUUCUAUGGGAGCUUGUGGGUAUGUUUGUGGCACAUCAAGGACCCAUCAGUGCAAUAUCUUUGACUGAUUGCGGCCAGAGGAUUGCAACCAUCUGCAUGGUUGGUCAUUUAAGCACUGCCAGCACUCUUCGUAUAUGGGAGCUGCUUCAUUCAGCAGAAACUAGAAACUGCCACGGUGGAUGAAAAGACUAAGAUAUUUCCUGAGAUUGUUCACAUUCUCAUACUUCGAUGGCUGAUGUCUUUGGUAAUUAUCAUAUAGAAAUUUUUUGGGCAGGGGACAAAAAUGUUGGGAUUGAGUCAUAUGGGGCCAACAUGGUUGACACUUAGCAUAUCUGAAGGGAAGGCCAGAGGCCUAGAGCCGUGGCCCCUCGAUCUACCAAUUGUUUGUUUUGUCCCUUUAUACAACAUAGGGGGCGUCCUCAUGAGGAUUCGAUAUUAGGACUAAACCUUAUAUUCAACUAUUUUUUGGUAGCAUCUGAGUUAGUAUUGAAUUCUCUUAGGGACGCCCCAUAUGUUGUAGGACAAAACAAACAAUUGGUGGAUUGAGGGGCCACGGCUCUGGGUCUCUAGCCUUCCUUUCGAAUGUGCUAAGCCUCAACCAUGUUAGACCCAUAUGGCUCAAUCCCAAAGAGAAAUUCAAAGAAAGGCACUAACCAGCGAACUUACUGGCCAUGUUCCUCCCCUAAGCCUUCAAAAUGCCACAACUGCUUUACCUGAGGAUGAAUCCAGGAAGUUUGAACCUGUUAAGAGUGGUGGUGCUCAAGUUAGAAGCAACAAGCAAGGAUUUGGCUUUAGCCUCGUGAAGAGGUUCUACAACUUUAUAACAAAGCUGAAGACAAUAUGGCAAAAGGGAAUGCAGAUGUGGGAAGAAUUGGAGGAUCAGUAUCUGAGUGAACUGAGCAAACCAAAUAAGGUCAAAAGCCGGUUGCAGAAUAUGGGUUUGGAUGGACUUGUUGUCAUUGGUAGAGUUGACUCGGAUACAAAUGCUUGCCUUCUUGCUGAAAACUCUAGGACGCUCUGGUGAUUGGAUGCCCGAAGGCUAUUGGUGGUCAUUUGAAAUGCAAGGAGGGUCUCACAAGCUUAGUAUCAGCUUGUGAAUUUGAUACUGCAUAUAUGCAAGAUAUCUGCAGAAGUGUUAGGGCAUACAUGGCCACCCCUCAACGCUACCUCUCAUGCAUGCACGUGUUCCACUUCGUUUAGGUGUGCUGUUCACCACCUUUCCACCUCAUGUGUCUCUUUUGUCACAUGCAGUUUCUGCAUGCUUUUAUUUGCCUUUUUUUAGUUUCCCUUUUUAUUUAAUAAAUUCUUGUCUUCACUUAAAAAUUCCUCAUUAGAAAUCUUAGGUCACUAAAAUCCAAUUUUUAAUCAAUUAUUUGAUGUCAAAUUUCCUUCAGACAUGCAUUUCCUUAUUUUUCUUGAUUUUUAAAUAAUUUUUUAAUUUUCUCAUUUUUUAAAAUAAACAUGAAUAAAUUUUAUAUUUCCAAAAAUAAUGAAAUUUCCUCCAUAUUUCUAUUAUCAUUAGAAAGAUGGAAUUUAUAAAAUUAAUUCAUGAAAUUAAAUAAAUUGGACAUUGGUUAGGCCAACAUAUGUGAUUCUCUUUUUGGAUUAUUGUUUCUAUAUGCUUGCUAAAUAAUAAUUGACUCUGCCUUGCUCAAUGACAUACAUGAGAAUUUUAUAUUUGUUAUUGUACACUAACCCAUUUUUCAUGAAGUACUCAACUUGUUGCUAAAUGCUCCUUUCCUCUUUUAUUCAUUUGAUUAUUUUUUGAUACAUACUUUAGGCAAAAUAUAUCAUAUUCAUUGCUAAGUAUCCAUUGAUUAACCAACCAAUUUUCAUGUUUGCUUUACCUUGAUUAGUAGAGACGUCAUUUUAGGAUUUAGAGGGACGUUAUGACUUAUCACUAUACUUUUUAGAUAGGUAACUUAACUCUCGAAUUCAGUUUUUCAUAAACUUGUCUUUCCUUUUUAAGAAGUAAUACUUAGGGAUUUUUUUUUCUUAUUUUUUUUCGUUUAAAAAUAAAACAAAAAUUAGUGACGACUCCAACCCUUUUUCUAAAAAUUGGUUUUUUAUAAUAAAAAAAACAAGUCUCACCAUUGAAUGGGAAUUCAUGUGAAAAAUGUGAGUUCACAAAAUAGCGACUCCGUUGAGGAUCAUGAAAGGAUCAAACUUGAACUCAAAUAGAGAUAAAUAUGAAGUUUGAUUAGUCGAUUAAUGAAUACCUCCGUACUUUUCUAUGUUUGAGUGUUCACAACAUGUACAUUAAGAGUUUUGACAUGAUGAUUGUCUAUGCUUGUCUAUGCUUGUCCGUUAUAUUUAUUUGAGAUCUUGACACAUUGAUUUUACUGAUGUUGCCUACCUUAGCAUGUUGAUUUUUCUUUGUGUGUGUUUAUCAUGCUUAUCAUGCCAUGCAUAUUCCCAUUGUUUUAACAUAAAGUCUUUUUUUUAAGUCUUUGAAAGAAAAAGACAUUUUCCAUGAUAGUGAAUUAAUGAUCGGGCAUUGGAUAGAUGAAAAUCAAUUUAACACGAUGGUCAAAAUAACUUUAAAAUUGGAAAAAUGGGUUCUGUUUAGGAAGUGUUUUAAAAAACAAUUUAAAAAUAAUAAUUUUUUUAAAUCAUUUUCUUUAACUUGUUUUUUCCUAUAUUUUUAAAUGUCCUAAAAAUAAAAAAAAACUAUAUAAUGGUUUAUUUUUAAUUAUUCUCCAUAUUUGUAUAAUUAUUUUUUAAAUUAGUCCUUAGAAAAUAAUCGGAAACAAUAUUUAAAAGAUAUUCCCUAAAAAUAUCAUGUUUUCCUAAUUAAAAAUAUAUGGACUUCACUGGAAAAGAGAAGGAGAGAGGAAGCUAGACAGCAUAAAUGAGAGGAAAAUGGAUUAGAAAUAAGAGGAAAAGAAGUUUUUGAAGAAAAUAAAGAGGCUUAAAAAUCUUCAAAAUGAGUCGUUCCCACGAGGAAGAAUAAGCCAAGGAGGUCAUUUUUCCAACUUCAAACCCUAUAAGAUUACCAUUGAAGGCUUAAGGAAAUCAUCCCAACAACAGCAACAACAACAUAGUUUAUAUAUGGGAACUUAGAUGGAGAAUGGGAUCCAAGGUGCAGUAGUUGAACAUGAGUCAUGACCCCUUCUUUUUAGUGUCUUGAUGGCAAUUUUAAGUCUUACUGCUUCUUGGCAUGCCUCUGGCAGAAGGCUUUGAUCCUGCCAAGCCCAUCUUCAAGGGAGGGUGGCUCAGUGGCAAAAGUUAUACGAAGCCAAUUCUCCAUUCCCACAGUAAAACCUGCAACAAAGCCCACAUAUUACUCCAUCCUUCAUAUCUGUAAGCAAAGUGUAUCAUAUUUUGCAUAUCAUUGAUUCAUUUUUUCAUAAUAUUUGCAGUUCUCAUAUUCUCAAUUUGUUAACCUAACUUCGAAGACUCAAAUUCUUUGCUUCUUACCGGGCAAAAUAAUUACGGAUUCCUCUUUAGACAGCUUCACACAGAAAUCCAUAUCAUCCUCAAUGUCUUCUAGUAGAGACACAUUUAGAUUCACCUGCAAUGGUACUAUAAUUAAAAAUUUCUUCAACUCCAUAUUGUGAUUUGAAGCAACUCAUAAUAUAUAUCUCAUAUAUUCUUCCCUUACCAUUACCGACAUGGCUCCUUCUGGCUUGUGUGGGCAAGUAAUGCAGGGGAUAUCUGCAAGUCCAUCAAAACAUAUGUCCGCAGUUUUUCGGAGUAAGCCAAUAAUUCUUGAGAAGAAAUCAUCUGUUGUUUUCUCAAUGAUUUGAGGAACAGCCCCCUGAUAAACAAACCACAUGAUUAACUAAUGUGCUUGGUCUCCCUGGGAAAAUCUUAGGGUGUUUAUACUGAAAAUCAUAUGUAUAUAUUCAUCAGGAAAAUGCAUGUUGAAUCGCAAACGUGAAUGAAGGUUGCCGGGUCAGUACAAAUAUUGAGAGAACUCACAAUGGUUUCCACAACCUGGGAAGACAGACAAGAAAUAUAUAAGUUUUAGUUUGAGAACUGCACGAAAAUCAAAUCAGAAAUAUAAAGAUCAGAUACCAUUUUCAAUUUUCCUUUCAUAUCCUGCAUUUAAUUGCAAUACAUAAAUGGGGUUGCUCCACGGCACUAUGUAACAUGAACAAAUGUGAAAUUUUGAGAGAGCAGUAAAUUGGGGUGAUCAGGGAAGAGAGGGAGGACCCCGGAUUUGCAGAGGAUGCCAUUAGGAUCAUUUGUCACAAGCCAACCAAGUCUCCAACCAGGAACAAUCCAUCUCUUUGAUAUAGAUCCAAGUGUAAUAACAGGCGUAAUCGACCCAAAAACUCCCAUUGGCACAUAAGGGUUACUCCCAAAAACAAGGUGCCCAUAUACUUCAUCAGCAAUCACAAGAAUUCCGAGCAUUCUUGCAGUUUCCGCCACCUGCAAAAUCCCUAGCUGGAACAUCAUUUUCCAUUACAAAUUAAUUAUAAAACCAUGUUCCUAGAAGAUAGCUUAGCCUAGCCUACCUUCUUCAGAUGCUGGUGUGUGAAGACAUUGCCACAAGGAUUGCCGGGGUUGAUGAUAACCAUAGCAACAGUGUUCUCAUCUGCAAGAGCUUUGACUCCCUCCAGAUCAACCUCCCAACCCUUCUCGGGCAGAAGAUCGAACCGACGGAAUUCCAGAUGGUUAGCUGCAGCAUGAGCUUCAUAUAACGCAUAACCAGGUCUUGGGAGAAGAAUGUUGGCACCGGGGAGAGCAAGGACCUUUAUUAUGAGUUUAAUUGCUUGUGCACAUCCAAUUGUGAGAUAAACAUCAUCUGGGGAUAGCUUGUAUGGAAGAUCAGCAGAGAGAUAUUCCGCUAUAGCCCUUUUAAUAAAAUGGAAGUAUAAGCCUCAAGCUGAAUUCAUCAAUCUGAAAACUUUGCUAAAGGAAAAUGAUAGUCUUUUCUGGGACUGUCCAGAAAACAUGGAGCAUGUUGCAGCCAAAAACAACUAUUGCUGUUCUUAAAAAAGGAAAAGGAAUAGAACGAAAAGGACAUAGAAAAUAUAUAACAUAUGCUUCAAAAAUGGUUUGAAAUGAUUUCCAUUUCUCCGAUCAAAGUGGAUGCAGCAAGUGAGACCAAUACCCUACCUCCUCGCUGUAAGAACGCCGACGUCGGGGGAAUAGGAGUUGAAUUUCCGGGACCGGACGGCGUCGACAAUGGCCUCUUCGGCCUCCGGAGAGGUCCGGAAGGAGGAAAAGGCAGAUGGGUCACCUUGUCCAAGAGUAAUAACAGGUCUGCGAUCUUGUGGAUUAAGAUUAGAUAUAACUUUGCCCAGAACUCCCCUCACGGUGAUGGAGGAUGCUUUGUGCAACACUUGGUUUCCCCGGAAACCCCAUCUCUCCGCUGCCCCAUUCUCCAUCCUCUUCCUUUCUUCCUCCUCCAGAUUCGAGUUUUACAAUGGUCAGGAUUUCAGUGGAAGAGAGAAUUUUUUGUGGGAAAGGUGAUGGGGUGGAGUGGAGUCGAACCAGUCACGCUGGUAGAGUUUUGUCUCUUUCUUUGUAGUCUGUCUCCUUGCCCUCGUGUCCUUGGCAAAACGAUAGUGGUAACAAUUUGGAAAUGUAAAUUGAUGACGUUGGAGCUUGGAGUAGGUGUGAGACGACUGACGAGAACUUGUGAAGGUUAUUGGGGUUGGUGGCUAAUCCGAAUGAAGACACAAUCUAUUCAAGUUUAACCUAGCUGGAUCCUUCAGUCGAGGUUCUUAAUCCAAGUAUGAUUUCAUCUCAUCUCUUGAAACUCGAGUUAAAUUAAUUGACCAGGUUAAAGUCCGACAGUAUGAUUCAAAAUCCAACUAUAAUAUUUUUAUUAAGAAAAAAUUAUGUUUAUAUGACAUUUAAAACAUUAAACUUAUUGUAAACUUGUUUGGAUAAAUAUUUUAUUUUUAAAUUUUAUUUUAUUUUACUUAUAUUGGUUUUUAUAAUAUUUACUUGUUAUAUACAUAAUUAAAUAUUGAAUUAACAAAAAAAUUUGUUUAAAUGAGAGAGGAACAAUCCAAUAAAUUUGUUUUAAUAAAAAAAAAUAGUUCAUAAAAUAUUUUUCUUAAUAAAAGAGUUUUUUAUUAAUAAAAAUUCAUAAAAAUGUUCUUAGGAAAGUCCCAAAAAAAAUUUUAUAACAAAAUUCAAAAAAUUGUUUUUAGUCAUAAUUGCUUAAAAAUUUAUCUAUUUAAUAAAAAUUGUUCAAAAAAUUAGUUUUUAAAUAAAAUUGCUCAAAGGUUUUUUUUUUUUAAUAAAAUUGUCUAAAUUUAAAAAUAUAUAUAUAUUCUUAAUUAGAAUGGGAUUAAAAGUAAUUUUUGUAGAUAAAGGUUUAAUGAGAAUAGGAUGAAAGUCAUUAGUGCAAAUUGAAGCCCUAGAAAUCAUUUUCUUAAUAAAAUUAUAUUAAAAAUAUUUUUGUAAAGAAAGUUUGUAAAAAAAUUAAUUCCUUUAUAAAUAAAGUUGUAAAAAUUCAUUCUUUUUUCUAGUAAAAGUAAGUAAAAAUCUUUUUAUUGUCAAAUUAAGAUUUUUAUAAUAAUUUUUUUGAUAAAAUGAGUGUAAAUAAAUUUUUUUGAAAAGUGAAUACAAACAAAUUCAAUCAAAUAAUUUAUUGCAAAUAAAUUAAAACUUUUUCUUUGUAAAUAAAUUCAAAAUUAUUUUUUUAAUAAAAUCCUUUGAAAUUUCUUGAAAAACUAAUUUUUGAAAUAUUUUUUUUAAUCAAUAUAAUAAUUCAAUUUAUAUAAUUUUCAUGUUAUUUAUUUUGUCUAUUCUUAUAAUUUGAUUUUUACCAUGAUUUGUAUAUAUUAAUUUGUGUGAUUUUUUUUCUUGUUUAGUAGAUAACAUAUGUACAGGAGCUUAAAGGGAUGUUAUAACUCACUACAAUACCUUCUCGAUAAGUAACUUGACCCUCAAAUUUAGAUUCGAUUUUUUAUAGAUAUGUUUUUUUCUAAAUAUGGAGUCACAUAUGAUUUCAUUUUUUAUUUUGUUUUUUCUUAAAAAUAAUAAAUAAAAUAAGUAGCGAUUUCAGUCUUUUCUAAAACUCAAUUUUUUUCCAUAAAUAAAAAGCGACUAUCAUUGUCGAGCCACAAUAAGUAAUAAUUUUUUUAAUAAUAUUGUUUUUUUUUUUAAAUUACCACUCCUAGGGUGGAGUGGAAGUUGAUGUCUUGUGGGUUGCUGCAUGUGCUUCCACCAUAAGAAUAUUCAUUGCCACUAUCACAUUGCAAUAUGCAGUAUUUUAUUUCACUUAAAAUAUACAGAUAUUAUAAAAUAAAUAAAUAAAUAAAAGCACAAGGAGAGACAAGGGUAGACUAGCAUAUAUUAAUGAAGAAAUUUGAUCACGUGACUUUGAAUCAUUAAUUAAAUAAUAAAGCAUUUAAUAUUAAAACUCACCUAACCUUCUCCCCCAAUCCCCUCUACAACUUUUAAGGAGAAAACAAAGGUGAUCAUUUUCUUCUAUGCACAAUUUAUAAUUAUAUAUAUAUAAUUUUAUAAGAAGAUUUUUUUUUAAUUUUUUAAUUUUUUCAUUUCUUUUAAUUUUUUUAAUAAAUAUGUAAAAUACCUUUAAUUUUAUAAAAAUGAUAUAAUAUUAAAUUUAUUGGAAAAGUUAUUCAUGUUAAAAAUAUUCAAGGAAUUCUUUUCUUUAAUUCCUCUAAUUUUAAUUUUAAUAAUAAUUUAAGGAAAAGUGUAAGCAGAUCACCCUUUUAUAUGAUAUAUUAUUUUAUUUUAUUUUUUCUAUAAUUUUACUUUUUGUCGAUUUUUUUUGGCUUUUUGUUUUCAGCGUUUACCACUGAUAGAAAAAGAGGCUUGCAAGACAAGCAACCAAAUGGACAAAAUCAAAUCAAUUUUCAAUAUUAAUAGAAUCAAAGUUGCCAAAUAUUCAAAGCAAACAAUCUUAUAAGGUAGGAAAUUAAGGUGUCAUUUGACAACUUAUUUGAAUAAGUUAUUUUUUUAAAAUAAAAUUCUGUUUUGAUUUUAUAAAAACAUUAUAAAUUUAAUUUAUAUAAUAUUAAUUCAAAUUUUACUAACAAUGAAAAUAGUUUUGUAUUUGUUGGUCCAAAGGGUUCUCCUAAUCGGGUUUUGAUGAUAACAAAUCAUGGUUAAGUAACUAAUUUGUUUAAUGGUUAAAAAUCUCAAAUAUAAAUUCGAAAAUUCAUCAAAUGACCAAAUGGAUAUAAGAUCGAGACGCUUGGAAGACUUGUGAUCAUAGGAAACUAAUGUAAGAUGAAUGCAUGAGUGCACUUAGGAUUUUCACACGUUUCAUGCAUCUUUGAAAACUCGGUUUAUUCUUUAAAACAUCGAUUUCAUUAAAACCCGAGUUUUUAACUAAUGUACCUUAUGCAAAAUGUUUUAUAAUUGGCUUAAUAAUUUACCUAAAGACUUUGCCUAAGUGUUAAAAAAUAAAGGAAUUAAAAAAAUAGGUUUUCGGGGCAAAAAGGGUUCAACCGGUCGAGGCUAUGGCCAACCGGCGUGCUCGUCCGGUCGAUGACCAGUCGAGGGAGACCAAAAAGUUACUCUCUCUCCCAGUAGCCUUCUCUUCCCGAUCGAGGUCCGGUUAAGGCAACGGUAACUUGUCAUGCAUUAAAUGCUUCAACGGCUAAUGAACAGGUCAACCCCUAGCUCGACCGGACGAGGUUACCUUUUGCUAUUGUUGACUUCCGAGCUUAGAAACUUAUAAAUUGAGAGCUCUACUUCAUUUAUUAAUAAGAGAACACUUGCAUUCAAUAACUUAUCUGUUCUUGAUAAAAAAGCUUUCAUUUCUUUCAUAGUGCAUUAAAUCACCACUUGCAUAUCAUUUAGUGCACUAUUGUGUAUCAUCCUAGCUUUGUCUUAUAUUUAAGCUAUCCUUAAGCUAGGUUGAGGGAUUAUAUCUUGUAAAAAUCUGAGUGUUAAAGCCUUCAAGAGGUUUGAAUCUUGAAGAGGUAGUGUAAGAGCCCAUUGAAACCGGAAUCCAAGUGUAAGAAGAUUGGAAGCUUGGUUCAAACUUCAAGUUAGUGGAACCCUCACUCGGUUAGGAGGUUGAGGAGAGUGGACAUAGGCAAGGAAGUGUCGAACCACUAUAAACCCGAGUUUGAAUUUUUUAAACUCUAUCUCUUUACUUUACUUAUAUUGUAUUUGAAUUUGUUGUGAUUGAAAAUAUUUUAAAAACCCAAUUCACCCCCCCCCCUUUUGGGUGUUUUUCUUAACUAAGCAUAACCUUUGUUUUCUCAGUAUUUAUAAAUAACUUAAAAAAUAAAUAGUAACGUUAUAAUAAAAUCAUAAAUUAUAUUUUUUUAUUAAAAAUUAUUAUUUAGUAUAUGUUUGAAAGAUAAGGAUAUUAAUGUCUAUGUAGUUUUUUUCUAAAAAAAAUUAAUAAUAAAAAAUGGUUAAAAAUAUUUUAUUUAAAAUGAAAAAACAAAUCUAACUUUUAUUAAAGAAUUUAAAUUAUUAAUUAAAUCUUGUUUAAUUUAUAAUCUAUUUACCUAAUGAGAAAUUCAAGAAAUAUAGUUAUGUGUAUAGAAGAAAUAGUAAAGUCUUAAUUCAAAAUAUAGUAGCUUUGAUUUAUAAUUUUUCUUAGUGAUUAGAUCUAUUUUUUUAAUUUCAAAUUAUAACUAUUUAAUAAUAAAAAAAUCAUUAAUAAAUUCGAUACAAAGUUUCAUUUGAUCAUUUGAAGUUCAUUUUUCUUGUGAAAAUUUUUAUAAAAAUAUAAUAUAUAUGUGUAAAAAAAUAAUAGUCACUAUAAACCAAAUUUUAUCCAUAAAUUUUUAUAUUAAUUAAUUUAUAAUUUUAGUUUAAAAUACUUUUAAAAAUUAAUAGAGUCUUUGAAUGAAUUCAAGGCAUUAAUCUUGUUUAAUUUGGAGUUUAUUUGUCUAGUGAAAAAAUAAUAAUAAUAAUGAUUCUAUCUAUAAGAAAAGCAAAAGAUUCGUUCUAAAUAAUUUUUGUUUAUAAAUUUCUUGUAUUAAUUGAAUCACUAUUUGGGUUUCAAUUUUUUUUUAAAAUCCCUAGACUCGUUAAUGAAUCCAAUACAUUAAGUCUUUCUUAAUUUGAAAUUCAUUUGUCUAGUGGGAAAAAAAUGUAAUGAGUCUAUGUAGAAAAAAAACAAAAAUCAUUCUACAUUAAGUUUUAUUCAUAAAUUUUUAGUAUUAACUGGAUCACUAUUUGAAUUUUAAGUUAUUUUUUAAAAUUUUCUAGACUUAUUAAUGAAUUCAACAUAUUAAGUCUUGGUUAAUUUAAAGUUUAUUUGUCUAGUGAAAAAUUUUAUAAAUAAAUAAAUACUUUUGAAAUAAAUUUUGGUCUAUAACUUUAUAAUGUUAUUGAGUUUCACAACUUUUUAGUAGUAAUUAAAUUGGUUUUAAGUUUCAAAUUACUUUUGAAAAAUAAUAAAUUUAAUGUAUCAAGUAUAGUUCAAUUUGGAAUUUAUUUGCUUAACCAAAAAUUUUAGAAAAGUUCAAAGAAAUUCAAAAAAAACAAGUGUAAUUUAAAGAAAAAUCAUAUUUGAAUAUUUUCAAUAUUAGUAUUAGAUCGUAGUCAAAGAAAAAAAAAAGACAUCCUAUUCAAUUUUAUUUGUUUUUUAUAGGUUUUUUUUUUAAUUUAUCUAUAUUUUCCUUUUAUGUUCUAAAAUUGAUGAAAAUAAUUUAUACUUGUUCUUUAAAAACUAUUAUCUAUUUCACUUUAUUUUUAAAAACUAAAAACAAUGAACAAUGACCAAAUAAUAUUAUCAAUUUUUAAGAACAAAUUUUUAUUUUUGCAAAUAGAAAAUCAUUUUUAAUUAUAUGGCCAAACAAACUCUAAUAAUAUUGUUUUUAGACCUACAUUCAAUAUUGAUGGAUCUCCCCAUCUAUGAAUCCCUUCCUUGUCUAGGACAUAGAUGGACAAAUUAUUAUCAGACUUUAAACUUGAAAACCCGCUAUUCAUAAAGUCAAUUAUUAACCUUUAAAGCAAUAAAGGCGCAUAUGAAAAGUUGUAGCUUGGUCAUGAUAAAUAGCCACCAAAUAUAAAAAAUCAGGUAUGAAAAAAGACUCUCUAAAGAUAUUAUCGUCUGUCUCUUCCAAACCUCAACUUAAACUUUGGAGGGGCGUGCUUGAACAAAACAUCUAAACAGACCUUGUUACAGAUACACCACCAUUGUCCAUUCAAAGGCAAUUUGAAGGAAGUUAGCUGAAAAGGACAUUGCUAGUUGUAUACCAACAAUUUUCAUUCUCUUUGAAAAACAUUUAGUGAUUCUCUUUAAACAUUCUUUGAAAGAAAUACUUGAAAUCAAAUAUAUUAGUGUCAUCAUAUGAGUUGAUGUGGUAGAGCUUGGCUCUAUUUUUGAAAAGCUUUCAAAAACAAUUCUUAAAAUAUCUUUAAGUCAUUUUGAAAAACAAAAGAAAAAAAAAUUAUUUAAAAACUCAAAUAUGAGAAAUAGUUUUAUAGAGUGUUCUCUAUAAAAAUAGUAUGCACCACUUACUAUAAUACAAAAAUUUUCAAAUUAGUCACCAUAAUUUUUAUUCUUGCUCAUAACAAACUACAAAAAACAAUUGAAAACACCUAAAAAUUGUCCUAAAAGACAACUUAUUUUUAAAACAAAUUCUCAAAAACCUGUUAUCUAUUUAAAGCUUGCCAAACAUGUUUUUUUGAGUUAAAAACUAUUCUCAACAACAGUUUCAGACACGACCUAAGUUUUAAUAAAAUUAUUAUUAAAAAGGUUUAAGAAAUCAUCUCAAUAACAACAACAUAGUUUUACACAGGAACUUCAAUGGAGCAUGAGAUCCAACCAGCAGUUGUUGAUCAUGGCUGCUUAUUAAUUUGUGUUGUCUUGAUGCCAAUUCAAGUCUUAUUGCUUCUUGGCAUGCCUCUGGUAGAAGGCUUUGAUCCUCCCAAGUCCAUCUUCCAGAGAGGGAGGCUCAAUGGCAAAAGUUAUUCUAAGCCAAUUCUUCAUUCCCACAGCAAAACCUGCAACAAACACCAAACAAAAAUGCCUUAAAGCCAGGUGAGAAGCCCACAAAAGAGCAACAAGGCGUCAAUUGUUGGAUCGUGAAGCCUAAAUCAAUCUUAUUGUGCUUCACUGGGAUGCCCAAGUUGAGCUCCCAGUUGAGUUCACGAGAUCGAGCUGCCCGAUCAAUUUGUAGGAGUAUAAGGGGCAACACCCUUUCAAAAAAAAAAAAUUCUUGAAUGUUGGUGCAAUCUGUGGACGUAGGGAUCACAUUGAUUAUUGAAUUACGUUAAAAGUCUGGUUUUUUAUUUAUUUUUGCUCGAGUGUGUGGUUUGGUUAACACUACUAGCAUGGAAACUUCAAAGGCUUAAGUUUUUCGCUCCUUACCUGGAAAAACAAUUACUGAUUCCUCUUUAGACAGCUUCAUACAGAAAUCAAUAUCAUCCUCAAUGUCUUCCAGCAGAGACAGGUUUAGCUUCACCUGCAAUGGAAUUUUGAAAUCAAGAAAAUCAUAGACUCGAUAUUUUGAAGCAACAUAGUAUUUCGUAUUUUUUGUCCUUACCAUCACAAACAUGGAUCCUUCUGGCUUUGUGUGGGCAGGUCAGGCAAGGGAUAUCUUCAAUUCCAUCAAAACAUGUGCCCGCAGUUUCUCUGAGUAUGCUAAUGAUCUUCAAGUAAAAAUCAUCUGUUGUUUUCUCAAUGAUUUGAGGAACAGCCCCCUGAUAAACAAACCCCAUUAUCCUAAUAUAUUGGAUUGGCAACAUGAAUCUGUAUUGCUGUUAUCAACUUGAAAAAAAUCACAAACCUGAAUGAAGGUUGCAGGGUCAGAGGAAAUAUUGAGAGAACUCACAAUGGAUUCAACAACCUGAGAAGAAAGACAACAAAUGUAUAAGUUUCAGUUUAUGAGAACUGCAAGAACGUCAAACCAAGAUGUAAUAUAACCACUAAAUGUGAAAUUCUGAGUAGAAGAGAGAAAGAG